rnacentral:lncRNA from 1 species
ACGCAAGUGAUUAGUACCGGCUCUACUAUCUCCAACUAGUAGCUUUUUACACCAAGUGCAUUCAGCUUUCAUUUUACCCCCAACUGUUACUUGUUCAAAUUCAAGCCACACAUCAGAUUUCAGCUUCCUUUUGCAUCCAACUUGUACAUUAUCAUCAUCAUCAUUUACGACCACAUGUUCUGUACCUUCUGAUGGUGGAGCUUGAACACUUGAAGAUGGCAUUUCAUUUGCAGCAGCACUCGUCGGUGUAGCUGCACUUGAGGAACCUCCUGCAACCACAGCACUGCUCUUUGUGGGAACUUGACGACUGCUCCUGCUCGGCCUCGAAGCACCUUGGUCAGACAUCAGACUCUGCAAUUUACAAAUUAGAGCUGCUCAAGUCAAGCUGUGCAAGGGCCAAGGGACAUGCUCACGGCUCACCUCACCUGCAAGGAUAGGAACCUCGUACGUGGUGGGAGCAGGCUGCGCUGCUGCAGUCGGACUCCGGUGGUCCUGGGGAGUGCCGGAAUGGGGAUGCCGCGGCCGGUCCUGGAGAGUGGAGACUUGGACUCCUGGCUUGGCCUCGGACGCUCGGUGGCUCCUAGGGAUGCGUCUUCCUCCGGUGGUCCUGGGGAUCCGGCAGGAGCAGGAUGCGGCGGCCCUGGGGAUGCGUCCUCCGGUGGUGGUGACGGCGGAGGGGGUGGCCGGGUGGGGCGGGCAGCGGCGGACGGAUCUGGUGGUGGCGUCUGGCCUCUGGGCGGAUCCGGUGGUCUAUCGUGGCCGCGGCCGCCUGGACGCCUGGUGCUAGCCUGCUAGGGUUGGCCGGUUGGCCCUGGCCGGUUGGGGACUUGGGGUUGAGGGAUUUGGGUUUUUCUCAGGGCCCACUGGAAUACAAACUGGAUGCGCACGGGACUUGGGCGGGUGGCCGGCUGCAACUCUACGCUUCGGGCGUAGCUCCGGGUUCCGGGUGACCCGCGGGCGAAAAUCAAAACCCGCACCCGCACCCGUAAUGCUUCGGGUCGGGUUUGGGUCUAACCCGUGGGUGGAUUUUUACACCCGAACCCGAACCCGACGGGUGCAAAACCCGACGGGGCCCGAACCCGCGGGUGAAAUUGCCAUCCCUAGAACCAGGUCUAGUUGGGCACUAGACUGAAGCUCUAGAUUAGUUAUUUUUAGGACUCAGCAAAUGGUGCAUUGGACCAGAGUCUGGUGUACACCAGACCAACAAUAUAUCAAUGGUCAGGAGGGUUGGCCCAAUGGUCGAAUGGCGUGGCACUAAUGUGGCAAGGUCCGGUGGGGAACUGGACGAUCCUGUGAGUGCUGAUAGAUUGACAUUUUUAGAACGAUCACUAAUCUGGCAAGCACAGUUAGAGGUUCGGUGUGUCCUAGACCUGCAAUAGUGGUUGGUCAGGUGCGACCAAAAAGUGCAAAAAUUAGGCAACGACUAGUUUGGCCUUGGGGCUAUAUAUACCACCCCUCGAUGCCUUCAAAUCAUACAAGCAAAUGUUCAGAAGUAUAGACACUCAUUCAUAACUUGUUGAUAGUGCCUCUAGCCCCUUUCUUGGUGAGAGAUAGUGCUUAGUGAAAUAUUAUGUGUUAGAGAGCUAGAGAAGUGAGCAAAGGCUUAUGUGUUGCUUGUAGAUGCUAGAGAAAGCGUAGAGAGCUUAGAAAGGGCAAAGCAACCUUGAGAAAGUGUGUUGGGUUUCAACCAUUUGCUUUAGGCAUUCACUGGAGAGCUUCCAAGGUGUAGAAAUCCUCGAGUUUGUUGUAAAGCAACUAAGAGAUAAUGGAAUGCUCGGUUUAUCAAGAGGUGAUAAACUUGAGUAGGAGUUGCAAGUUGAAAAAGACUCCAAGCUAGUUGGCUACCUAAACAACAUGGAGUAGGGAAGCAUUUGAGGCUUCGCUGAACCAGAGGAUUUGUAUGUCUUGUCCCUUGUGCUUAUUUACAUUAGUUGAACUUCUUAUUGUACAUUGGUUUUAAGUGUUUGUGAAGUGCAAGUACUUAUUAGACAAGGACAUUAAUCUGAUGCAGAUUUAUUUGCUAGAAUCAAGUUAAUUUCAAAGAGUUAAAGUUUUAUAAUUACCUAUUCACCCCCUCUAGGCGACAUCAAGAUCCUUCUAGUACAACCAAGUACUUUCAAGUUGCCAUUACAAUAAUCUUAAAGUAGCUAAUUUUCAUCUCAUUAGCUAUUUCGAUUCAGAUUAUGUGUGUUACAAAAUUGAUAUGAAAAGCACUUCUAAAGGGUGCCUCAUGAUUGGUAGAUCACUAUAAUCUUGGACCUCUAGAAAGACAUACAAGUGUUGUCUUGUCAAACACCGGAGUAGAAUAAAUUACCACAAGUGCUUGUUGUUCAUAAUUUUUUUAGAUGAAACAAACCCUUCUAGUCUAUGGUGUAGUUCUAGAAAGGCAUCUCUUUUGUGUGACAAUGAGAGUACCAUAAAACUUGUUAAUAAACAUUUCAAUACUCUUGCACUAAGCACAUUGAUAUCUGUAAUCACUUAAUUAGAGAUCAUGUAGGAAACAAUGAUCUUUCACUAUGAGAGAGGACGGAAGAUCAAUUAGCAGUCAUAUUCACAAAACCUUUAGAUGAAAUGUGAUUUUGUAUGUUGAGGAAUUAACUUAAUCUUCAUGAUCUAAGUAACAUUACUGAAGCAUGAGAUUGUGUUAUCCCUUGAAUUCCAUUGUAAUAUAAUUCAAGUUUAAAUUGUUUUUCACUUGGGACAUGUUUAAACAAGUUAAGAUAAUAGCCAGAAAGCAUGUUAAAAAUCUUAACUUAGGCUUAAGCUUUACAAGCAAUAGCAAAUUCCAAAUGUUGCAUUACAUAGGAAGGUUGUUGCUUUAAUGUUUCUUUUUGGUUAAGUUUGAGCAUCCGCUGCAAUCAUUCAUCAAUAGGUGGGGCAUUUGGUGAUCCUAAUGGUUGAAAUCCUUUGAAUGGCCACAAGACGUCUCUCUACCCUCUUUAUUGCUUACUUUCAUAAAAAUAUAUUUAGCCUAAGGCAAAUUAUUUUGACAAUUAAGGUUGAGAGAUGUCACCAAUACCAGUUCCAACUUGUGUUCAUUUGAAUCAUAGUUAAGCUAGGACUCUAUUUGGUGCAAAAUCCACGAAAAAAUCUUGAAAAAUCUUCCACUAUGUGCACCGGAUUCAGUACCAAAUGUGCAUGUGAGUGAUUGUAUUGUGUACAUGUUGACACUUUGAUGUCUAGUGUGCACUAGAUACCCUAUACUAGAAAUGACCAAUGCUUUCACCGAACAUGUCUUGUGCCUAGGGUUUGGUUACAGCACUCUGAUUUUCAUAAGUGGUCCUCAUAUCUGGUGUGUGGCUAGACAUGUCUGGUGCAUUGGUGUGAGGCAUGAUAAACCUCUAUAUCAUGUGGGCCCUUUCAUCUUUGUCUCACAUAUCCUCUUCCUUCUUGUACCCAUACACCGCCUCCUUAUGGAGCUCGCGCCUGCACCACUGCCAACCACCGUGCAUUGUCUAUGACCACUCCUAUUUGCGCCACCAGUCCUCCACACUACUAUACUGCACCCUAUAACAGUACGCCAGUGCCUCCUUGCCACUCCCUACCCACCAUUGCAUCGCUCCUGCACUUCGCACUACUGCUCACACCUCCUUGCUACUUGUUGGCUUACCUGUAUGGUUGCACCAUCGCUCAUGCAUAUGUGCUCUCUCCUUUGUGCCACUACAUGCCACAACCACACCCUGUGCUAGUUGCUACCAUCAAUCACCAUGCACAUGAUCUAGUUAGCCAUGCCCUAUCUAUAGAGCACUGCAAAACCCUAACCCCAUUGCUACCAUGUCGUUUUGGGCUCACCAUCGAUCUACCUUCUCUUCACCGAGAGGGUGCUCAUGUCCUAGCUUCAUGCUUAACAUUCACUCUUUGAGUACUCUUCCACUAAGGUUUGAGCUCACAUACUAUUCAAUGAUUUGCCUCAAUAUACAAUUACUUGUGAUGCUUACUCUCUUUUGUCAUCAUUGUCCCAAUGUUGAUGUCUUGGCUCGCACGACACUCUCCUUUGCUUCCAAGUGUCGAUUCAUCAUCCAUCCGUAAGGUAGCAAAGGUAGCUCAUUUUUGUUCUUACCUAAUUGCUUUGCUUCUAUUAGUAUUCUCUUAUAUCUAGUGAUAUGUUGCAUAUAUACUCUUACCUUUCCAUCGUGCAGCAUGUCAGUAUCAACUAAACUUGAGUCCAAGCCCGUGAGUAUGGACUGAUGCCAAGCCUCGAGAGGAUCAGUUGUUAGUGAUAGUGUGUUAUGGUGAAUCCAUUGAUAGAGUAGUCAAUUUUUCUUUUAGACUAAGUUCGUGGUAGUGAUUUAGGGGAGUUUUGUUAGUAGCUCACAGUGAUAGUUAUGGCUUGGACCAAGUGUUUGGGCCUGCCCCCAUCUUGUGGGGAUGACGGCUAGGAUCCAUCUCAUCCUCCUAGGCCCAACAAGGGCAAGACUAUGGUGAUUGAGUAACAACACAAAAAAUACAAUGGACUUCAUCAAGACUAGUAGAAGACCUUAGCAGUCGUAGCAACAAAAGUAGAGAGCACAGGGAGGUGACAAAGGAGGAUGGAUUAUGAUUGGUGCUCUAGAUACAUUCUCUACCUAGAAAUAGCAGGCAUAUGCCACUCCUCUUUCAUGAUCGGCACGUACAUGCAUACUCACAUGCUUGACUAAGAGCCAAUAGAAAGGGAGCAGCCAACAGACGCACCUCACAGGCCCCAGUUCCUAGAGAAAGAUGAGUACGAGGUCGACCAAGUCUAGGAUGGCCCUCGAUUGUAAGACCUUCAUAGGGCUAUAAGUAGUCAGGUCUUAUGCUUUAGACGCGUACCAGUCACUAUGUGGCUGCCAAAGGUAUGAGACCCAAUAGUCAGUCUACUUUUCAGUAUGGCUAUUCAUGAGUCAUUCUACCAGCCUCAGUUGAUGGAGAGGAUUUCACUCAAGGAUUAUAAUACCAUCAACAUUCAUCUUCUAGUAGAGAUAGUGGGACCAGACAUUGAGGAGCACCUCACCAACUUUUAAGGCUUACAACAACUUAUUAUAGGUGUAGGGCUAUAUGUUGAUUAGUGGGUUAGAGUUUUAUAUGCUACAGUCUAGAUUGACCCAGAUCAUGAGUGGAUCCAGUUCAAGUUUGAGGGACAUGACUACAUGAUAUAUCCUAGAGCAGGGGCGGACCAAGAGGGGCAAGUGGUCCAUGCCCCCCUCAAUUGUAUAUACCCAAUGUUUAUAUCUACUAUUUAGUAUAGAAAAUAUUGAAGAUUUGAAUGAGCUAAAACGGUCUUAUCCUAGGUCCUCUCCUUAGAUCGGUACAGUCCUCUCGACUCCCAUCCUAUUUAUUAGACCAGCCCUCACAUAUGUUCACAACUACAACAACACAACGGCCUGACCACGUCAUCUAGGCUCAUGUCGUCCACGAUCUAACUAACAGGACUGUGUUGUAGUGUAUUAGUCGUUGCUUGUACGUGUAUAAAUAUUAGUACACUUGAGAUCAAUACAAAGCAUUGUUGACCUAAUCACUCUUACAACAUCUAUCUAUCCGGACCCAUUCUUCUCGAUGUCACCCGAGCCACGUCCCAUUCCAAUCCUCCUUGAUGCCCCCUUCCCGAUGCCACUCGCCUCCACUUCCCUUCCCAACACGCGACAUUGUCGCCCCCACCCCCUUCCUAGUGAUCUUACCCCACUCAUCAUCGUCACGACGACAACCCACUUGACAGGCAUGAUCUCGCUCGACGCGGCCUAUUCUCAGCGACUAAUGAGCUUGACGAACCAACGAGUGCUGACUCUCAGCAGGAGACAUCGCCUAACCCACUCCUUUCUCGGCAUCCGUGCCCUUUAAUGAGAUCGACAUUCACCAAGGUACACAUGGCUUCUAUUCGAUCAGCAAGAAUUUACAGGUAUGUUUGCUUCUUUUGUUUAUAUAGUUUUCUUCUUUGAACUUGUGUCAUAUGAAUUAAUAUGAAACUUGAAACCAAUGCAACACUAGUUUUUUACGAUCUUACUUGAUUUCGUCAUGUAGUCUUCUUGGCCCCUAUGAAUUCUCGUUCUGCGUCUGCCACUGUCCUAUAGAAAUAUGAGUGCUCUUUGGCUUCACAACUUGUGCUAUACAUUUGUAGAUCCAUCUACACAUCAUCAUGAUGGGGAUAUACCAUUGUUAACACAUGUGGCCUCACUAUUUAAGCCACCCUUUGGAGAUGGAUUCCACUGAGCUCCAGUAGACUUCACACUAGUUGUGAAGAUCAUCCAUGCAAUUAUAAGAAGUACACUACUACCAAGAAUGGGAUAUGGUGAGGUACUCACUAAAAUUCAAUAAUUCCUCCUCGGUGACUUGAUCUCACAUACAAUAUUUGAUGUUGUUGACUUUAUGAUAUGUGAGAUAGAGGACACAUUCUUGGAUGGCAUCAAAGCCAAACGUUAAUUUCCCUAUGCACACUACUUAGUUAUAUCUUCUCUCGGUUGAUUAACCAUCCAAAGUGGGCACUCAUAUUGGAGAACUCUACAAGAGCUUAUUAAUUUUAUAGACCUCGGUCCACCAUCAACACACGUCUAGGUGUGUGAGCUCUUAGUCGCAGAGAUAGAGAUAUAUUAGAGAGAUAGUUGAGGAGAGAGUAGGAGCAAAAUGAGGUAACUCGUUAGGUACAUCAAAUAGAGCUUUAGAAUCUCUUUAAGAUAAAGUAUGCCGCUGAUGAUAACUUGGAUGAGGACUACCACAUACCACCGCUUUAUCCUCUAGUGCCACCACCAAGACCACAUGGAUCAGAUGCAUGUAAUUCCAGUACAACACCUCCACCUCUAGUACCUUCGACCAAAAAUGAUCGAAUGGUUGUACUUUUGAGCAUAUGGUAACAUAACAACGAUAGUUGGCAGUCGAGCAACAGUAGCUUUCAAUAGAGCAGCAAAGGAUGCUUUCCUUGUAGCUCCACAAAGACAUAGAGAAUAGGGAGGAGCAAAUACAACAUGUGGAGGAAUAGUAGUGUUAGAUAGACUAGAUCCUCACCCUAUUCGAGACUAUUUAGGCUUGAUAGGAUUAGUUUCAACAGCAACUACUAGCAAACAGAGCUAGUAACUUUGCAUACUUUCAACACAUUCUACAAUAGACAAGUGUAGCAACGCCACCACCUCUAGUUUAGAUGGAACCUCCUAUAGCUAUUUAGACACUGGUGCCCCUAGCUAUAUAGUUGGGGGACUUUAGGGUCAGGGUCUUUACUAGUUCAUGUCGCUAGUUCACCCAAUGACCCUUGACUUUUCUUCACCAUGAUAGGGUGUGACCUCAAGUUUUCAUGGAGUUUCACAGGCUAUCCCUUUCUCGGCACUCUUAAUACCACCAAUCAUAACUGCAACAAUUGAUGUUGCUCCACCCUACCCUCAGAUAAUUUAGGCCACACUUUGUCAGGUCAUAAGAGAGAUCUCUCAGUCGGUUCACUUCCAAUAGCUUUUAUGUGUCCCUUUAUAGUUGUUCCAUAGACUGGCACCGAAGAGACUCUUUUAUCCUUAGUGGCGUCUUUUAACCCCCUAUAGUUAGUCAUAAGCUCAUCCAGCCAGUUAGACAAAGCGUGAGACAGGAGCUACUGCCUUUGAGCCUACUAGAUAGAUAAAAGCUUCUUUUGAUAUAGACUAGUAUGCCUCUCUCGCGUAGUUUGAGCUUUCUUUGUACACUUUAGUGCCUAACACCACUAUGCCAACCCCUCAAUAAGACCCUUAGGUUUUUUAGCUUUUUGUGGUUGAUGACAAAGGGGGAGAGUAUGUGAGGUAGUGGGACAGAGGCAUGGGGAGAAUUUGCUAUAUUUAUGUGUGAUACUCUCUCUUGUUCAUCAUAUGUUGCAUGCACAUUUCCUUUAUGCACUUUAUUAUACUUUAUGUUUGCAUGUGUAUGAUAUGUCAUGACAUGUGCUACUCUCUUUUUAUUUAUAUCAUGUUAAUCUUGCUUCUUUUCUGUUCCUUUUUAAUUCCAUGCAAAUGGAUUUAUUUAAUCAUGUACUCAUGUUUAACCUUUCACUCAUGUACAUGUGGUGAACUUGGUUUGUAUGAACUUGCACUAACAUCUAUGUUUUAACGCCAGAAGUUCAUGUAAAUCAAGUACUUUGAAAACAUCACAUCUUUCUUUCACAUGCUCAAUGUUGUGUUGUCAUCAAUCACCAAAAAGAAGCAGAUGGAAGCAUCAAGGCCCCUACUUGGGUUUUGGUAAUUAAUGAUGAUAUUAUAUUAUUGUGACUAAUGUGUGUUUUAUAAAAGCAAAUUGAGUUAGGUCACAAAAAUAGUGAUUGAUUGGGCUUAUAUGGUCUUGGUGUCCCUAUUGAUGGUAUUCAAUUAUUGAUUUUAAAAGAUGAGCAAGAAGGUUAAGGAUUAAUUAAUUCUAAGUUUCAAUGAAGUAGAUGGGCAUAUAAAUUAGUGAUAUGACCUUUACUUUGGUCAUACUACAAAAGGAAGCAUGAUGGUGACUUGACCUACGUAAGUCUAGUGAUGAGUGGUGAUGAACAUUUACAAAAUCUUGUACUAGAUAACCCUAUGAAAGCCCAUGAGAAAUUUUAGAUCAAACCUAACUCAAAAAAUAUUUGAAACGAGAAAAUUUGUGGUGUUGCGCACCGGAUAUGUGCCACCGAACAUAAGGUUGCCCUAUUUAGAUUGGAGUUAAGCAUCGGUGUGUCGAGUACGUAUUGUACUUGGUGCAUGGAUAGGACACCUAGAGAGCUAUGCAGCUGAAGGUGAGAGGUUCUACACUCAUUGAACAUGUCUCGUGUGACAUCGAUUGACACCAAAUAGGACACUUAGAGAGGGUUGUAAUUGAGUGUGUGAGGCUAAGUACUCACUAGACGUGUCCAGUGUGGAACUAAACAAGGCACUCGGAGAGGUAUGUAAAUGUGCACCUUGAGCGGUAUACUCACUAGACGUGUUCGGUGAGGCACCAUCAUGGCACUAGAUAUCAGUACACUAACGGCUAGUUUCUAAAACUAGACAUUAGAGCUACACCGCACAUGUCUGGGGCAUGAAGUAAGUAUGCACCAGACAUGUUCAGUGCACUUGCGAAAUGUGAGUGAGGGGGGCAACAACUAGUUUCUUUGCUUGGGCUAUAUAUAUCCUCCAUCUUGUCCAUUUGAGGUUUCUUACCUAUUUAUUCAGGUGAAGAAUCCAUUUCGAGAAAAAAGGAGGGCCUUUGGGUAAUGAGAUGAUUGAAAUUUAAUAAUCACAAUAUUAAUGCCUCAUUAGUGAAUUAAGAGAAGGAAGUGUACAUCCACCAUUCUCAUUAGUUUUGGUUAGGUCAAGAUAAUUAGAUUAAGUGAGAGUUUGUACUUGUUACUCUACAUCAUCUAGAUUACUUGUGGCAAUCGAGAGUUUGACAAUCACUUAGAGGUGGUCCAACUCAAGAUGUAAACGGCUAUGGUUCACCAUACAUAAAUGGAAAAAAAUAAACCCAUAGAGAACACUUGACCUUUGCACAUGUCGGGGGAACGACACCCUAGCACGACUGGUCCAACAAAAACUAGUGAAGGAUGUUGCCUCUCUAAUACUUCGGCAAAACAUUAUUGUAUUCAUAUCCCUUCUUUACUUUAAUAAUUUAUAUUAAAUCGAUUUAAUCCUUAUAUUUACAUCACUAGAGUUGAUGUGUUAGAAUGGGUUUGAGACCUAAGGUACAAAAUUUUGUAUAGAAUGUAUGACACUCUUAAGCACAAGGAGUAAUACAAGACAUCUAGUAGGAUUUAAUUUUUGCAAAAAAAAAUAGAUUAGUCUAAUUGGCUCCUUAGGCAUCUUAAUCCUUUCAAAGUAGUUUUAAGUUCAAAACAACUUUGUUAUAUAUACAAAAAUGAGAAUCCUUCUUUAGUAUCUAGGCUCUAGAAUAGUUAGGCUACGAGCUCGCCACUGUUUGAGAUCAUCGUCCAGAUCUUGGUCGAACUAAAAUAAGGAUCCUUUCCUUAGAACCCGUUUCCGGCAAGAUUACAUUUAAAAGCGAGACAAUUGCAUAUUUGGGUCUCCAAACAUGGUGCUUCGCGAUAUUGCCAUCACAAACAAUUAAGUCACAAAAAAGGGACUAUAAACAUGGUCUGGUUGAUUAGGCUGCCAUAAUCGUAUAUUCACUUCCUUUUUAUAAUCCAUUUACGUGUAUUUCUUCCUCAUGAGACAGAUUUACCCUUUUCUCUGCAUGAUAUCGCUCUGCUCGUUCGAGAGAUCUCUUCCUGUUCGCGCAAUGGUGCUCGUUCGAGAUCUCCCCGCGCAAUGGUGCUCGUUCGAGAUCUCCAUGUACGCGCUGCUGGACUCGCUGCCGGACUGGUUAUGAAGGGCACCGCGUCUGCCACGGCUGCCCCCGCGUCGGUCCCCGCCGCCCCUGCGCCGAGCACGGCCCAAACUCUACGCGGUUCUCCCCUGACGCCAUGGCCGCGGACUCUCCUCACCUGUCCUCCCUGAUGGAAGUGCAGGCCCGCCACCCCGCCGAGCACGAACUCUCUAGGCACCGUCUCGAUCUUCCCCUGUCGCCAUGCCCGCUGACUCCGCUCCCCUGUCUGCCAUGACGAUGGAAGCGCACGAGCUGGAGACGUCGACGCCGAACAGCGGGUUGCCCACGGCCGCGUUGGCCUCGAACGAGCUGGUCUCAGCCCUGCCCACGGCCGGCCAUUCGGCCGAACAGCCUGGCCACGACUGCCUGACCACGGCCGCGUUGUUCGCGUAUUGCUGUUCAUACAACCGUUUUGUGUUCGUGCUAAUGUUGUUCUCAUUCAUGCUGUUGCUGUGCUAUUCCUGACGAGCGCAUACGUCCUGUUGUGUCACGUCCUGCUUUGUCUAUUCCUAAUCUCCUCUCGUCCGGCGGUGCUUUGCGUAAAUGGAGAUCUCAGGUACAGAGAUAAAUCUAUAUUACAAGGAGGAAAUACAAGGAAUUAUAAAAAUGAAGAGAAUACGGUAAAUGACAGCUUAAUCAACUAGACCAUGCUUAUAGUCCCAUUUUUGCGAUUUAACUGUUUAUGAUGGCAAUAUUGCGAAGCACCAUAUUUGGAGACCCAAAUAUACAAUUGUCUCAUUUAAAAGCAACAUCUAGCAAAUACUUUCUCCAUUCUUUUUUAUUUGUCACGGUUAUUCUUUUUUAUUUGUCGUAGUUUAGUUUAAAAAUAAACUAUCGGACGACAAAUAUUCGAGAACAGGUAGUCUUAAAUCACUACUGACUACGAACCAGGAAAGCGCCAUUACGGAAAAUGGUAAAACGGGAGUUAAUUCAAAUUCUCACUAGUGUAUUUCCAGUAAAAAAAAUUAACAUGUACUCAAUGAUGUAAAUUCCACCUUAGCCUGUCUAUCUACACAUGUGACCCAUGUCAUAAGUGUAACAUUUAAACUGCAUGCUACAUGUUUGCAACCUGGUACAAUUAAUUUGCUCCUGUCAACAAUGAUACCUUAGUACAAAUAGGUUAUAUCACACGAUUGGCAACAUUGCUCUCACUGCAUUUUGCUUUUUAUCGUAAUGUACUAUCAACGAUACUGAAAAUCUCCUUGGAAAGAUCAGGAGACACUACUGCUUAAGAUUACAUGAACACCAUUGUAUGUCAGAAUUGCUGAGUGGGGUGCAUGGAAAUCAAAAUUUCUAGUUUGAGGAUUGUUCAAAUUUGGUACUGAAAUCUCCUUGGGGAAAACAUUCUAGAGACACUACUGCUUAAGAUUACAAUAGCACCAUGUCAAGUCAGAAUAAAUGAGCGAAGGAAAACAGAAAUGGAAAUUCCAUGCCACUGAGCAUUGCUCAAAUUUGCUUCAAAUAAACAAGUUAGCCAACAACAACCGCACACCUCAGUACCAGACUGGGAAUAACAAUCAAAUGUACUAGGAGAUAGCAAGAUUUUAUCCAUCUUGCAAGUUUGUUCGUUCACCGAGAGAAUAGAGGUCCAUCAAAGCGACAAACCAACCGCAUCCACAUCAGCCAACACCUUAUGCACUCUUUAUUUGCUGCAUUUAGUUACAACAAUGACAUGAAACCAUGAAUAACUUGUAGUAUCAUAUGCAACAUCAGGGGUGCAUAGUAACAAUUCAAACAAAUACCAAGCUGUUUGUUCUAUCAACACUUGGUUAGGACUUAAUAUGAGUACUAAAAUUUGGGCAAAGUGUAGCUUUUGCAUAAUUGUACUAAAUCGCGUUGUUUGCACCACUCAGAUUUUUACACGUUAAAUUGGACAUAAAAUUAUAUUCUCACUGCGGAUUUUCCCCUCUUCAGGUUUAAAUACCAACGCUCUAUUCACCUCGACUAGGUGCCCCUAGACGACACCAAGGCGUCCACACCGCGAUGACUUAACCUUCAGGCAUCCGCCUAGCCGUCUUCAGGCGAAGCACCGCAUCACGUGUAGACAUAGGUUUGGAAGAGACCCAAAACCUUUGUGGCUUCAUCAACAAUAUAGACAUAGGCAACCCUUAGUAGCGAGCUGAAUCUAGGAUAAACCGUGUGUCUUAUCCAUUAUGUUUUCCACUCGAUCUACUUGGUUGUACGUGUUUGUGAGUGCAGGUACUUCGUAGACAUGCUACUCGACAUCUCCAAGCACAUCUACAAGUUUGUUUUGAGCUUGAUUCGUAGGCGUAGCUAUUGUUGAGUUCUCUGUGUUACCUGGCAGUUCCGCGACAUUGCACGAAAGUGCUGAGGUUUACUAAUCCACUGGAAGUUUGAUUUGUUGUUAAUUUUCAGAAACGCAUAUUCGCCCCCUCUAGGCAAUACCAAGGUUCUUUAAUGAUAUGACACAGCAGUGUGCAUAAGAACAAUGUAGAAGGUAUCUUAGUGACAAUUCAAAGAAGGGUGAUAUGCCAAUAGUGUUAUAAGGAAAAGGUUUGGUGAAGUUCACCCAAAUUCAUUAGGACCAUGAACUUGUGGAAUCCAUAACUAUUGAUGUAUGUUUGGUGUAAUAGGAUAAUUGUAUAGUCUGGCUUCUUGCACCACAAGUUGAACCAGUGUCUUGGUCCUCCAAACGCCAGACCACGUCCCUCGCUCCAAUGCAGAGGCGGAAUACCGCGCCUUGCACAUGUUGUGGCCGAGUGUUGUUGGUUGCGGCAACUCGUCUAGGAGCUGCAUCGAUUCCUUUGGUGUCGGUUGUCUAUUGCAACAAUGUUAGGGUUGUCUACUGUUAGAGUGGACGCACUAACCAAUUCAACCCAAAAGCUUAAGAUGUUAGGAGAAGUUAGGCAAUCCACUCAUACACUUUAACACCCUCACUCACGUGCAUCUAGAGAGAAAGGCGCAAACGUGAAAAUAAAAGGGCGGGGGCACAAAUAAAGCCUCUACAAGGAUUCGAACUCGAGACAUCUGGCUUUGAUAUCAUGUUAGAGUGGACGCACUAACCAGUUCAACCCAAAAGCUUAAGAUGUUAGGACAAGGUAGUCAAUCCACUUAUACACUUCAACAUCUACAUGAGAGCCAAACUCAUCCACCACUGUCACACAAACCAUAUCGAGAUCGAGAUUCACUUCAUUCGCGAAAAGGUUUACUUUGGGACAAGUUUGCGUGCUUCAUGUCCUCUUGGCGCACCAGUUCGCGGAUAUUAUAACCAAGGGUCUCCAUGUGUAGUUGUUUACUGACUUCUGAACUAGUAUGUGCGCCGGUGAUCCUACCGCUGCACCUACGACAGGUAUUAGGGUACUUGUACAGCCUAGCUUCUUGUACCACAAGUUGUAGUACAGGUUGCACUCUCCCUGUACAUGACUAUAUACAUGAAAGGCACCCCCCACAAUGGGUGUGGUGAUUCCUCCGAUACCUUUCUAUAGGUUGACUAGCUGAUGAGCAACAAAAACAAUGAUUCAACUAAGCUGAUUGGUGCAGGUGGAAAUCUCAAUGGCCUGGAACCAGUGACAGCUCCUGCACAUAAAUACUGAGCUUCUCUCGUGUUGCGCUAGUUGAGAAACAAGAAAGAUUGAAUCGUCUUGCCUCCCCCCCCCCCCUUCUUAUCGAAAGGAAAGAAGUUUAAUGGUCAUCUCGAAUAGAAGAUGACAAGUUGGAGACCUGCUAUUAGGGAUGGGAUGUCAUGACUCAUGAGAACCUGAGUUGAAAUUGGAAGAAAAAAUGUUUAGUGGAUAGGAACCACUGGAAGCUGCUGCCUACACAUCUUAUGCCAAGAGGGAAAACCAAUGGAUCAGCCCCAUUCGAAGUUUGUAAGUCCGUUGGGUGCUAUGUGAACAUGUGUAUAAUGGAGUGAGUGAGAGUAACUAAAUCUUAACCAAUAACUAUGACUGCAUGCCUAGCUAGUUUGUGUUUGGACUGAUGGAAUUUAAAAAGUUAAUAGAAAACAAGUUCCAUUGAGACUUUUAGGAAGACCAACUUCAGGAAAUUAUUAUGUUAUGAUAGGUCCAUAUUACAGCUUGUUUGGAUAGGUUGUUUCAGCUGAUGCAAAUGAAGCCAUGAGGAAGUGGUUUUCCAGGCAAACUCAAACAGGUUUUGAGUUCUCACAAAACCCAAAUACUGGUUUCAGCAUAAACAGACUUUUCUUGUCCAGAUUUUAUCCUAUCGGUACUUAGCCAAAAAGAAUUUUAGGUUGUUUUGAAUUAUCAAAAUAUGUUUCUGACAACUAUAGAUCAAAUAACCCCUAAGAGAAGAGAGGUCCUGUUUUUUAGAAAAGAUUCUAAACUGGAACUCAAUAGAACAUCCUAGUAAUAAAUGAGGACAAAGGCAUACCUUUUUCUCCUCAAUCUUAGCCUUUAUAAAUGAGUAGAGGGCAACACCAGAAACAGCAAUGGAAGUGCCAAUUCCAGUCUGUGUGGUGAUCUUGUUGCCUGCCCAACAUUAAGCUCACCGUGUGUUAUGUGAAAACACUAUUUUCACAAUAGCAAGAACAUCUAUAUGGUUAUAGGUAACUAGAUUAAGAAACAUCAGAGUCCAUUCAAGUACCGAAUGCGAUGAUGGAAAAGCCAAUGACGAAAACACGUUUCAACACAUUGCCGAUGGCAUGUGUUAAAGGGGCUACCCGCUCCAAUGUGUUUGUAGCAACCUGGAUGUAAAUUUUUUCCAGUCAACAUAUGAUAGAUAGCCGAAUGAAAAAAAAUGAUAAGAAUAUCAUCGCAAAAAAACACAAGUAUGCAGCAUAUUUGCACAUAUCAUGUACUUAGAAACCACCCCCAGCAGGACUGGUUAUGCAUAUGUGCAGUCUUUCGUGUUCCAUCCUUGAUUCUUCACCAGAACGAUUAAUAUAGUGUUAUUGCAUUCUUCUUGUCAAGAGAUUAUAUUUAUAUGCAAGCAUUACUCAUUUGGAAUUUGGAUAUUGAAUUAAAAAAACUUGGUCGGGGAGGGAAUGACCGCCCUCCCGGUAUUAUACUAAGAAGAUACUGAAACAAUGGUUCUGGUCGAGAAAAUCCCCGAACUCUGGCCCCCCAUUACUAAUGGGCCGGUGUCAACCGUCCACUCUACAACGGCCCAACCGGAGGGUGGCGCACAAAACAUCGUAACCCGAGAUCGGAUGGGACACAGCGAGGGGAUUUUUUUAACCAAACCGAAAAAUUCACCCCCCGAGGGGAAUCGAACCCAGGACUUGGAGGUGCUAAUUGGAAGCCUUUGUUAGAGUGUCUAUUUAGGGUUUUGGGUUAGCCCCUUGUAAUUACAGUAAUACCCUGUGUAAUGGGCCAGGCCCAACGACCUGAGUCUAUUAAUACAACUCCCAACCCUGAGUUAGGGUUAGGGUUUCCCAUUCCAACUGCCUUUAACCACUAGACUAGAGGCCCUUUUGCAUUUGGAUAUUGAAUUAACCCAACACCACUACUAUUUGAGCUGCAUUGUCCAACUCCAAUUUACCAAUGUUAUUCACUGUCCUUGACCUUUUAUGACCAAACGCUGUUGAUAUUGAUCUUUUUUCUAGUUUUAACUUUGUCUCAAUAAAUGUUAGGGAUAAUUGCAAAACCUUUGAUUCAAAUUCACUAUUACAAAAUCACCAAAUCAAUUGUGUGCCACUAAAAUCCACUCUUAUGCCUUAUGUUUGUCAUUACUCAGUUCAUCCAUGACAAAUCAUUACUUCAAGACGACCAUGGUUUCGUAUAGUGGCAUAUUCACCAUAAUUGAAGCAGCAGAAAUAUGCAAUCGUCCCUACAUACUAGCAAGAAUACGGACAGUUCACAUGCCAUGAAGUUAUAUACCUGGUUAUAAAGGUGAUAGAAUAAGCCCACCACAAAAAAAUUAGAAAUCAACUUUGUUAAUCCAACUUUGGCAAUUGCAUCUUUAAAACCAUGCUGCACUAAUUGAGGUCCUUCAAUCUGAAAGUUGAGAAUAUAAGAAACAAUCAUCAAAUGAAUGGUCAGUACUCUAUCACAAGAGUUUAAAAGUAGUUAAUGGACUUGACAAUUCUCUGUAUCCAAAAAAAUCUCAAACAAAACAAUGAACUCCUACACGCUUGCUAACUAAACAAACACAUGCUGGCAUGUGUAGACACAUAACAAAAUUAAGUUCUGCUGCUACCUGCUAGUAGUAUAGCAAACUAUACUAAUGGAGUGGGUGUUCAUCUUUAAGGAACUACCAUGGUACUGAAAAUAAAUUGGGUAGUGAGGAUUGCCAGUUGUUCAAAAUAAGCAGGUGCAAUAAAUCUAUUCUUGUUUAUCAUCUUCUCAUCACUUUCUCAACUGUUAUUACUCAUGUUGUCUUCUUUUCCUUAUAUGUUGUUUCUUGAUCAAAUUUCCUAGUACAGUAUUGAUAAAGGCAUUCUAAGAAAGAACAUGUCCUGUAGCAAAAAUACAAAGAGAAACUGCAGAAAUAUAUUGUUCAAAAUAUAAUGUAGAUAAAUUAAAACUAGGCUUACAAUAAUUGCAGGGGGGAUGCAGACAAAGAGAGCAAUUAUUGAUAUGUAUGCAUACAAGUUGGUACUAUCCAUGUCAGUCUGUGACAAAGGAAAACAAUAAGAAAGUAAGUCAGCAAAUAGGAGCUGCUAAGAAUGUAGAGGAGCAAUUUGAUGUAAAAUGCUAGGCCAAAGAGAUAAACCAUAGCCUUCUUAGAAUAGAUGCUUCGGUAGGUGAAAGAAAUAUUUGAGAUCAUGGCAUUAAUGAAGCCAGUCCAAUUAAAUGAGAGUUCAGUGAGGGAUGCUACCGAGACACCUGAUCAUUUGAAAAUAGAUUGGCAAAAUAUAAGUACAAAAACACAGUAGUUGUGAGAUCUUAUUUUAAAAAAUCAGUCAGAAACAGUGUGUUUUAAUCCACAUCCUAUAAGAGCAUCUCCAAUAAGUCCUAUAUUUGAGUCCUAAAAUUAAAAUGGGACCUGAUUUGAAGUGUUUAGAACCACAAAAACACUUGCAGCUCCAACAGUUGAGUCAUAUAUCAUGUUAUUAGGAAAUAGAUGUUGGUACUUGCCUUUUGAGCAAGUUGAUCCAACGGGAGAGUGGAGAGAGUGUUUACAAAGUUCAACGGGAAAUGGUGAUAGCUCUGUUAAUCUGGCCUAUCAAGGGCACGGUACGGGGGUAUUUAUAGGUACCCGGGUGUCCCCCGUCCUCUGGCAAGGACGUUUAUGCCCUCGGGUACCCGGACUAUCCUCAGGAUAUUCCCACAAGGGGAGGUUACAGACCGUCAUUACGGAAAAGGCUAUUACAGAUGAGGCCCGUGACACGCUUAUCCGCGCGGGGCCCGUUACAGUGGGCCGAAUCCCACGUGGGCCUCUGGGCGCGAUGAGGACGUGGGACUAGCAGACUUCGUCGGAGUCCUGCCUUCAUCUUGCAAUGGAGAAGACGAAGGGCAACCGCGCCGGUCCGGCGCUCUCGGCUCGCUCGGGCAUGGUCUUCGUUGGUGUAGCGAGGCGACGAAGGCAUCGAGCGAAGGGUAGCGUCUUCGCCUUCGCCCCAACAUUUGCCCUCCGAGGGACCAGUUCGACUGAGUCAUCUGGUGCCGAAGAUGUCGCUAGAUGGUGGAGACGCUGCCCUCGCUCGAAGUGGUCCCGCGGGGGUUUUUGAGGUGACCGUUGAUGGACGUGGCACUGUUGGACUGCGUGUUUCCCGAAGCGCCGCGUCCUGUCUAUAAAAAGGCGGCGCGGCUGGGGCUGUUGCUUACCCUUGCGUGCGCCGAAAAACCCUAGCUUUUUCAAACCGCUCGCCCGUUCGCCUGCCCUCCUUGUUCUUCUGCUUCGGAGAUCUGGCCCGCGUCAAGCAGACCGUGCGCCGCCGCCGACGGUACGUAGCAAUGUCUUCCUCCUCAUCUGCUGCGAGUGCGUCAUCGUCCGAUCCGUCGUCCGAGGAUACCCUGAGCGAUUUGGCGGCGAUGGAGUUGCAGCUGGGCCACACGGUGGAGUUCGGCACCUCGAGGAUUUCCUCGGUUCGCGUGCAGGAGAUGCGGCAGCUGGGGUACUUAGGUGACGGUGUUGGGCGCGUCCCGGGCGCUGAGAAGAUUCCUGAGCCUGAGGGCGAAUUAGUUGUGUUCGAGGCGUUCUUCAUCGCCGGCCUUCGCCUACCGGCGCAUCGUUUCGUGGCGGAGGUCUUGCAGAGGUUCGACGUCCAGGUCUACCAGUUGACACCUAACGCCGUGGUUGCCCUGGCGAAGUAUGUCUGGGCGGUGACUUCGUACGGCGGUCAGCCGUCUGUGGAGGUCUUCGCCAAUAACUAUUGUCUGCACUGGCAAAAGAGGAAAAUAGGAAAUAAGAUUGCACAAUUUGGAUCGUGCACCUUCACGCCGAGGACCGGAAAGACUUCGGCGGAAGUCGUGGAGAUAGUCCCCUGCGCUCGGAACAAGUGGGGCAACUGGUGGGACUAUUGGUUUCUCGAAUAGCUGAUACAGCUCUUGGAGGUUUCUGGGUGGGUCCCUGAUGCAGUGAUUGUAUAGGACGCCAGCCCGAAGGCCACUGAUGGCGUAAUGGAUUGCAAUGUGGUCGUCGACCGAUGGCAGUUGUGACUUGAGAGUCAGGAACUUGCGGUAGUACUCUCGAAGAGUUUCCUUCUCUAGCUGCUUGCAGAGUGAUAGCUCGGCCAAGGCGUCAGUAUCGGGUCGGUACCCUUGGACGUUGAGCAGGAACUUGUCCCAUAGUCCUUUCCAGGAGUCGAUGGACAAUGGCGGCAACCUGGUGUACCAGGUCAAGGUCGGACCCUCGAGCGCGAUGAUAAAAGAUUUGGCCAUUGUGGCGUCAUCCCCUCCGGACGAUGCAACGGCGACUUGGUAGCUCAUGAUGUAUUGUGCUGGGUCAGUGCUGUCGUUGUACUUGGGGUAGGUCCCUGCCCUGAAGUUGGCGGGCCACGGUGACGCUUGGAGUUGCGGAGCCAGGGGGCUUCGCUCAUCAAGGUAGUUGAUCCCUUGGGAAGAUGUGGCGUGCGGGAUGAAGGGCCCGCGCUGAGGUAUGAAUAAGUCUCCGGCUGGGACGCGCUGUUGGAGGGGCGGUCCGUGCUGCAGAUCGUUCGUGCUACGAACAAACCACCCGCGAUGGCACCCAAGAGAGAUAGUUCGAAGGCAGCCCCAUCCGUCGACCAAGCAGCAAAGGCAGCGCUGCUAGCCGAGAAAAAAGGCAAGGCCCUCGCAGACAACACCCCCCAAGAAGCCUGCGAAGACGAAGCUCUCAGCAAGAGACAGCGCCACGAACACCCCACUCCCGAAGACACCCUACGCACCUGCAACUCCGGAGGACUACCACAAGCACCACCCCCAGGCUUCGCUCCACCAGAGGGCGAAGACGCAACAGAGGACGGCGAAGUCAUCGGCAUCUCAGCCGAAGAACAGCUACAGCUACGGGCCCUGCGCAUCAAGAACCGCAACCUCCAAAAACAGAAAGACAUCCUCGAGGCCAAGCGCCAACGUGUCACCGCGCAAGCCAAGGUGCGCCAGAUGAUACGAGACGAGGAGCAGAGAGCCCGGGAACUCGAGCAAGAGAUCGCGCUCAUGCAGAGUGAAAGCCAGCAUGAUCUGCAGCAUGGCCCGCCCCUCCAACAGCGCGCGCCAGCCGGAGACUUAUUCAUACCCCAGCGCGGGCCCUUCAUCCCGCAUGCCGCAGCUUUCCAAGGCAUCAACUACCUUGAUGAGCGAAGCCCCCUGGCUCCGCAACUCCAAGCGUCACCGUGGCCCGCCAACUUCAGGGCAGGGACCUACCCCAAGUAUAACGACAGCACCGACCCAGCACAAUACAUCAUGAGCUACCAAGUCGUCGUCGCAUCAUCCGGAGGGGACGACGCCACAAUGGCCAUGUCUUUUAUCAUCGCCCUCGAGGGUCCGGCCUUGACCUGGUACACCAGGUGAUGGAAUAAGUCUUGAGCAUCUAGAGGACAACCUGCUUUUGACUGUCCUCUAUAGUCUCUUUAGCAUCUAGAGGACAAUCCUGUUGUGUAGUGUGUGUGAGAAGGUGUGGUAGUGCAGCCCCUCGGGCUAUAAAUAUGUGUCCCCAACCCCUCUAAGGGUAUGGCAUUGUGUAGUGUUUGAGGAAAUAAACAGAAAAUUGCCCCAACUCAUAGUGUCAUCCUCUUGAUGAGAGUUAGAGUCCCUCUACUUACAAUUGGUAUCAAAGCCAAACUAUCCUGUAGCCUAAACAUCUCUUGCUCAUCUCCUUCCCGCGUCUCUCCCCACACUCAGUCGGCAGCAAGAGCUCCAACUGUUCCUUCCUCCCCUGCUCAAACGAGCAGCCUUUCGUCUGAGACAGCCUCUUCCACACGCAGCAACCCCUCACUAGCCCACCAUGUCCCUACGCUCGGCCACUUCGAGUGCGCGGCGCCAGCAGGAGGCCGAGGUCGCCGCGGCACAAGAACGCGAGCGAGCAGCAGCAGCGGCUGCAGCGACAGCGGCGAGGGCAGCACGGUUGGCGGCGGCGGAACUGGCAGCGGCGAGAGCGGAAGUAGAAGCAGCGGAGGCGGCGGAUGCUGCACGUGCGGCGGCAACAGAGCUCGAAGUUCUGCGCGGCAGUAGAGCUGGCAGCUCUGCUUCUGUCGACGACAACACCGACGACGAGCUCAGGCUGGCGAGGGAAGCAGCGCGAGAGCAGGCGGCACAGUGAGCAGCCGCGCAUCCCCAUGGGGGCGCGCGUGGCGGCAGCCCGGAUAGGCGCCGACACGCUGACGGCGCUCCAGGCGGGGGCGCACGCGGCGGCAGCCCAGACGGGCGUAGACGCGCCGGCGGUGCUCCCGGCGGCGGCGACCGAGUCGACGGAGAUCGCGGCCUCUACAGGCGGCGCGGUUCUCCCUCCCCGGAUCGGUACCAUGGUCGCCGCAUGGCCCAGGCCAUUGUCAGGGACAUCGGCCCCGGCGGUGGGUGGCCUACCCUCACCAAGACCAACUACGUCGAGUGGGCGCGGUGAUGAGGGUACGGCUCCAGGUUCGCCACAUGUGGGAAGCAGUUCGUUACGACGACGUCGACUACCACGAGGAUCGGCGGGCGCUGGAUGCCCUCAUUGCUGCAGUCCCGCCCGAGAUGCAGUUUUCGCUUUCCCAGAAGCGGACUGCCAAGGAGGCCUGGGACGCCAUCGCUGCGACCCGCAUCGGCAGCGAUCGUGCCCGCAAGACCACACUGCAGGCACUUCGCAAGGAGUGGGAGAACCUGGCCUUCAAGCCAGGUGAGGAUGUUGAUGACUUUGCUCUCCGCCUCAACACUCUGUUGCAGAAGAUGGUGCAGUUCGGCGACGACACCUACGAUGAGGAGAGAGCUGUUGAGAAGCUCUUCCGUUGCAUCCCCGAGAAGUACAGGCAGAUUGCUCGCUCGAUCGAGUCUCUGCUAGACCUCUCCACGAUGACGAUCGAAGAGGCAAUUGGUCGCCUCAAGGUGGUCGACGGCGACGAACCACAGGCUCUCUCUGGGCCUAUCACUAUCGGCGGGAAGCUACAUCUCACUCGGGAGCAGUGGAAGGCCUGCCAGGGUGACAAGAAGAAGGGGGAGUCCUCCUCGACACGAGGCCGCAAACGCGGCAAGCCGCGCAAGGCGCGUGGAGGCGCCCAGGCCGGGGCGCGAGGACAUGCUGAGGGUGGUGCACGUGGAGGUGCCCAAGGCGGCGCCGUCGGCAACAAGAAGCCGGCACGAGACGACGGUUGCCACAACUGCGGCAAGCUUGGCCACUGGGCCAGGGAUUGUCGGCAGCCACGACGUGGCCAGGCCAACGUCGCACAGGCGGAGGCGGAGGAGGAGGCCCUGCUCCUGGCACAUGCAAGCAUCGAGCCAUCUCCAGCGGCACCGGCCGCAGCGGCACUCCUCCACCUUGACGAGUCGAAAGCACGCGCUUUCCUCGGCGACGGCUCCAACAAGGACAUGAUCGAAGGAUGGUGCCUCGACACCGGCGCCACUCAUCACAUGACCGGCCGACGGGAGUUCUUCACCGAGCUUGACUCUAGCGUCCGAGGCUCCGUCAAGUUUGGGGACGCCUCCGGCGUAGAGAUCAAGGGCGCCGGCUCAGUCGUCUUCACCGCCGCGUCUGGUGAGCACAGGCUGCUCACCGGAGUCUACUACAUCCCCGCGUUGAGGAACUCUAUCAUCAGCUUGGGACAGCUGGAUGAGAACGGUUCGCGCGUGGAGGUCGAGCACGGAGUCAUGAGGAUCUGGGAUCCCUCUCGUCGCCUUCUUGCCAAGGUACGCAGGAGUGCAAAUCGGCUUUACAUCCUCAAUGUGAAGGUGGCACAACCUUGCUGCCUUGCUGCUCGUCGAGACGACGGGGCAUGGCAGUGGCACGAGCGCUUCGGGCACCUUAACUUCGAAGCCCUGAAGCGGCUCAGCGCCAAGGAGAUGGUACGAGGCCUGCCGUGCCUUGACCAUGUGGAGCAAUUCUGCGAUGUUGACAAAGCAGAGACGACUCCCCUUCCCCCAGCAGUCGAGCUUCCGAGCCAAGGAGAGGCUCGAGCUCGUGCAUGGGGACUUGUGUGGCCCGGUGACACCAGCCACACCAGGAGGACGACGCUACUUCUUGCUGCUCGUCGACGAUCUCUCCCGCUACAUGUGGGUGAUGAUCCUUGGCAGCAAGGGAGAGGCUGCGAACGCCAUCAGGCGUGUGCAGGUCGCUGCGGAGGCGGAGUGCGGCCGGGCUCUCCUCAAGCAGAGAGGAAUGCCAGCUGUCUUCUGGGGAGAGGCGGUGGUGACAGCGGUUUACAUCCUCAACCGCUCGCCCACCAAGGCUCUCAACGGGAUGACACCGUACGAGGCUUGGCAUGGGCGCAAGCCGGCGGUCUCUCACCUACGGGUCUUCGGCUGCCUCGCGUUCACCAAGGAGCUUGGCCACAUCAGCAAGCUCGACGAUAGGAGCACCCCGGGGGUGUUCAUUGGCUACGCGGAGGGCUCGAAGGCCUACCGCAUCCUUGACCCAAGAACACAGCGUGUGCGCACGGCGCGCGACGUAGUGUUCGACGAAGGGCGAGGUUGGGCGUGGGACAAGGCGGUGGACGACGGCACGACUCCGACGUACGACUUCACCAUCGAGUACGUCCACUUUGAGGGAGCUGGGGGAGUAGGCAACUCUUCUCCGAGCAGGUCUACCCCAGCCCCCAAGUCUCCACCGACUCCAGCGCCACACUCUCCAGCUCCUGCUACAACGAGCUCUUCACCACCACGCACUCCAGCCACGACUCCGGCUACAGCGAGCUCUUCGCCACCAUGUACUCCAGCACCGACGGUACCCUCUCCGGGAACGUCCUCUCCGACACCAGCUCGUGUCGAGCACGACCCAGUGGAGCUCGUGACCCCUCUGUCCCGCGACGAGGAGCGCGUCGACGCGUGCUACGACGGCGAGCCGUUGCGGUAUCGAAGGGUGGAGGGCCUUCUCAUCGACCCGUCGGUGCCAGGCCCUGCAUCUCGCAUUCUGGCAGGAGAGUUGCAUCUUGCAUGCGACGAUGGUGAGCCUCGGUCUUUCGCGGAGGCCGAGAAACAUGCGGCUUGGCGUGCCGCGAUGCAGUCGGAGAUGGACGCGGUUGAGACGAACCGCACUUGGGAGCUCGCUGAUCUCCCUCAUGGUCAUCGCGCGAUCACCCUUAAGUGGGUGUUCAAACUGAAGAGGGAUGAAGCCGGCGCCAUCGUCAAGCAUAAGGCUCGCUUGGUGGCACGCGGUUUCUUGCAGCAGGAGGGGAUCGACUUCGACGAUGCCUUCGCCCCUGUAGCACGGAUGGAAUCCGUGCGACUCCUCCUCGCGCUGGCAGCCCUGAAGGGCUGGCAUGUUCAUCACAUGGAUGUCAAGUCGGCGUUUCUUAACGGCGACUUAAAGGAGGAGGUCUAUGUACACCAGCCGCCAGGUUUUGCGAUCCCUGGCAAGGAGGGCAAGGUGUUGCGCCUGAGCAAGGCACUCUACGGCUUGCGACAGGCACCAAGGGCGUGGAAUGCCAAGCUGGAUUCCACGCUCAGGAGGAUGGGCUUCAUGCCAAGCCCGCACGAGGCGGCCAUCUAUCGGCGGGGCAAUGGAGACAAUGCCCUGCUGGUGGGUGUCUACGUCGACGACUUGGUGAUCACCGGCGCCAAGGAUGCAGAGGUGGCAGCGUUCAAGGAAGAGAUGAAGGCCACCUUCCAAAUGAGUGACCUGGGGCAUCUCUCCUUCUACCUGGGGAUUGAGGUGCACCAGGGAGACUCCGGGAUCACACUUCGACAGACCGCCUACGCCAAGCGCAUUGUUGAGCUGGCUGGGCUCACCGACUGCAACCCAGCUCUCACUCCGAUGGAGGAGAGGCUGAAGCUGAGUCGCGACAGCGCGACGGAGGAGGUGGAUGCUACACAGUACCGGCGUCUUGUGGGGAGCCUUCGCUACCUCGUCCACACACGGCCUGACUUGGCAUACUCCGUCGGCUACGUUAGUCGGUUUCUGCAGCGACCGACGACGGAGCAUGAGCAGGCUGUGAAGAGGAUCAUCCGCUAUGUUGCGGGGACUCUCGACCACGGUCUCUACUACCCGAGGUGCCCUGGGGAGGCACACCUUGUCGGGUACAGCGAUAGCGACCACGCCGGCGACAUCGACACCAGCAAGAGCACAAGCGGGAUCCUCUUCUUCCUCGGCAAGUGCCCCAUCAGCUGGCAGUCGGUCAAGCAGCAGGUGGUGGCCAUGUCCAGCUGCGAGGCCGAGUACAUCGCAGCGUCCACUGCUUCGACUCAGGCGCUCUGUCUGGCUCGACUGCUCGGUGAUCUCCUCGGGAGAGACACUGGAGCGGUGGAACUCAGGGUGGACAGCCAGUCCGCUCUGGCAUUGGCCAAGAACCCCGUGUUCCAUGAACGGAGCAAGCACAUCCGGCUGAGAUACCACUUCAUCCGAGACUGCUUGGCAGAAGGGAGCAUCAAGGCGCGUUACAUCAACACCAAGGAUCAGCUUGCAGACCUGCUCACCAAGCCCCUUGGGAAGAUCAAGUUUGUUGAGCUUUGCUCCAGGUCCGGGAUGGCCCAACUUUCUCACAAGACGACGCCCAAGACUUAGGGGGAGAAUGAUGGAAUAAGUCUUGAGCAUCUAGAGGACAACCUGCUUUUGACUGUCCUCUGUAGUCCUUUAGCAUCUAGAGGACAGCUUGACUGUCCUCUGUAGUCUCUUUAGCAUCUAGAGGACAGCAGUCACUUUUUGACUGUCCUCUGUAGUCGCUUUAGCAUCUAGAGGACAACAGUCGCUUUUGACUGUCCUCUAUAGUCUCUUUAGCAUCUAGAGGACAAUCCUGUUGUGUAGUGUGUGUGAGAAGGUGUGGUAGUGCAGCCCCUCGGGCUAUAAAUAUGUGUCCCCAACCCCUCUAAGGGUAUGGCAUUGUGUAGUGUUUGAGGAAAUAAACAGAAAAUUGCCCCAACUCAUAGUGUCAUCCUCUUGAUGAGAGUUAGAGUCCCUCUACUUACACCAGGUUGCCGCCAUUGUCCAUCGUCUCCUGGAAAGGACUCCGAGACAAGUUUCUACUCAAUUUCCAAGGAUACCGACCCGAUGCCGAUGCUUUGGCCGAGCUAUCACUCUGCAAACAGCAAGAGAAGGAAACCCUACGGGCGUACUACCGCAAGUUCCUGACUCUCAAGUCACAAUUGCCUUCGAUCGACGACCACAUCGUGAUACACUACGCCAUCAGUGGCCUUCGGGCUGGCGUCCUAUACAGUCACUGCAUCAGGGGCCCACCCAAAAAACUCCAAGAGCUCUAUCAGUUGUUCGAGAAGUACGCCAGAUCCAAAGAGCUCCAUCAGCGAAAGGUCGAGUCUCAGAGAAAGCCCAAGGACCCUCCGCAGUCCAGCCGAACCUGGACAAGGCCUUCGCAGUCAGACUUCAGACGGGACAGUCGCAGUCAGCAGCAGGUGCACAACAUAGCCAACCAGCCCCCGCUGGCGAGGCCGCUCGCCGUCAGGACUAUCCCCCCCAGGGCCGCGGCAAUGGCACGCGAGGCCGGGGCCGGGGACGAGCGCAGCAACCGCGCAGAUAUUUUCUGCCUGUUUCACGGCGAGGAUUGCGCACACCCAACAAGGGAUUGCCCGGAAACAAAGGCCACCAGGGACAGGAUGUCUCGAGCACAACCAGCCAACAACCAGAGAGUUGUCGCGCACACAUAUCAUCACCACCACCCACAACCAUACAACAACGGCCACGUCCAGCACCCACCCAACCACACAUAUCCACACCAUCAGGAAGUACAAGUCGUCCCACCCCCGCCUCCGCCUCCGCAUCACCCGAACCCACACCACCAAAAUCACCCCCAAGCACCAAAGCAGGAAGACUUCGCCAAUCAGCCGUAUCGCGGAGUCAUCCACAUGAUCACCGGAGGGUCCAGCGUCGACUUCGAGACGAAGCGACAAAAGAGGGAUCACUACCGGAGUGUCAACCAUGUCGCCCUCACCGACCCAGUGGUACAAACGAGGUGGUCACAUAUGCCACUAACUUUCGACGCCAGAGUUGUUGAUCUGCGCAGCGCACCCCACGUCGACGCCAUGGUAAUCAACUGCAGUGUAGCAGGCUGGGACCUGCACAAAGUCCUAGUUGACAACAGCAGCCAAGCGGACAUAAUCUUCCUGCACGCCUUCGACCGCAUGGGCAUCAGCCACAGCUAAGUCAAGCCUUCGGACAACCCCCUAUAUGGCUUCGGCGGCUAGGGCACUUCCCCUGUGGGCAAGAUAGAACUAUCUCUGUCAUUCGGCGUAGCACCCAAUGCGCGAAGCGAACAGGUCACCUUCGACAUCGUCGUCAUGGUCUAUCCCUACAACGCUAUAAUGGGUCGGGGCUCCAUCAAUAAAUUUGAAGCAGCAAUUCACGGACUGUACCUCUGCAUGAAAAUUGCGGGUCCGCAAGGCGUGAUAACAGUUUACGGUAACCAGCAGACUACGCGCAACAUUGAGAUAGACUUCGUUCCAGGUCAACGGAACGUACACUGCCUUACAACACAGCGCGAAGUCUCCGAAGCGGCCCGCCCAGCCGCCGACGAAAAAGUAAAGGCGCAGCUGCAGAGCAACGACGGAACGAAGACAGUUCCCCUCGACCCGGCGACGCCCAAGCAAACGGUCGUAAUAAGCGAAGACCUGACUUCGCAAGACGAGGAGAAAUUCAUCUCCUGUCUCUCCAGAAACAAGGACAUCUUCGUCUGGUCCGCCCUCGACCUGGUCGGAGUCAGCCGCACCGUCAUUGAGCACGGUCUGGGCAUCGACCCUUCGGUGCGCCCAAAAAAGCAGCGGCUGCGCAAAAUGUCCGACGAAAAGAUGGAAGCCGCCAAAGCCGAAGUGCACCGCCUGCUGAAAGCCAACUUCAUCGAACCAAUCGCCUACCCUACGUGGCUCGCCAACGUAGUCAUGGUACAAAAGAAAAGUGGCAAGUGGCGCAUGUGCAUCGACUUCACCAGCCUCAAUAAGGCCUGUCCCAAGGACAAUUUCCCGCUGCCACGGAUCGACAAAAUAGUCGAUAGUGCAGCCGGAUGCGAAGUCAUGUCCCUUCUCGACUGCUUCUCCGGCUACCACCAGAUAUACAUGAAGGAGGAAGAUAAGGUCAGCACCAGCUUCAUCACACCCUUCGGCACGUACUGCUUCAUCAGGAUGCCAGGGGGACUCAAGAACGCUGGGUCAACCUUCUCUCGCCUCACCAAGACGGUGCUCGAAAGCCAAGUGGGCCGCAACAUUUUCACGUACGUGGACAACAUCGUUGUCGCAAGCAAAAAUAAAGAAGAUUACCUGGCUGACCUCGCAGAGACGUUUGCAAACAUGCGGGACGCACGACUUCGCCUCAACCCCGAGAAGUGCGUCUUCGGAGUUCGCCAGGGAAAGAUACUGGGCUACCUAGUGUCGCACCGCGGGAUCGAGGCCAACCCAACCAAGAUUCAAGCAAUCAUCAACAUGACACCCCCGCAGUCAACUAGGGAUGUCCAGCGUCUGACAGGCAGAUUAGCCGCCCUGAACAGAUUCAUUUCCAAGUCCGCAGAGCGGAGUCUACCCUUUCUCAAGACACUGCGCGGUGCAAAAGACUUCGCGUGGGGACCAGAGCAGGCGGCAGCCUUCAAAUCACUCAAGCAAGACCUGUCAGACUUGGCAAUUCUCACCAAUCCCGACCCCUCGCUGCCUCUGCUGCUCUACAUCGCAGCCUCGCCAUAUGCAGUCAGCGCAGCGCUAGUCCAAGAGCAAGACAGAGAGGGCACGACCCGGCAGUGCCCAGUCUACUACGUCUCUGAAGUCCUCACGACCUCCAAGUGCAACAUGACUGAAUUAGAAAAAAAUCUCAUACGCAGUUGUCAUGGCAUCGCGCAAGCUGCGCCACUACUUCGAGGCGUUCAAGGUGCGGGUCACCUCGGACAGGGGACUGGGAGAACUGUUCAGAAACCCGGAGGCGUCCGUCCGAAUCGCGAAAUGGGCAGCCGAACUCUCCGGGUACCACAUCACCUUCGAACCCAGGACAGCAAUCAAGUUGCAGGUCCUGGCAGACUUCAUCGUUGACUGGACAGGGCCAACACGGCAGCAGGAAUAGUCUCCAGAGAAGGUGUGGACCAUCCACUGCGACGGCACAUGGUGCCAUGCGGGGGAAGGCGCAGCGGCAAUUAUCACUUCACCCACAGGCGUCAAGCACAGAUACACAGCACGCCUUAGCUUCGCCUUGGAGUCUGACAGAUGCACCAACAAUAUAGCAGAAUACGAAGCUAUCAUCCUGGGCCUUCGCAAACUGCGAGCACUCGGUGUCACCACCUGCAUAGUCAAGACAGAUUCCAAAGUAGUUGCCGGCCAGGUCAAAAAAGAAUAUUCAGCAAAAGACCCUGCGCUCAUGCAGUAUCUCACGGCUGUUCGCAGUCUCGAGAGACAGUUCAAGGGCUUCACCCUACAGCAUGUGGACCGCGCCAGGAACGAAGAGGCCGACGCGUUGGCUAAGGCAGCGGCCAGAGGCGAGACCUUGCCCUCCGACGUGUUCUACCACGUCAUCGGCACACCAGUUGUCCGCAACCCAGAGGGCUUACAAGUAACUAAUGACGCCGAAGGCCAUCGCAUCGUCAACCUCAUCAUGACUGAAGAUUGGCGGGCCCCAAUAACCUUGUAUCUGCAAGGACAUUACCACCCAAGUGACGUCAAUGAGGCCAAGCGCCUCAAGCACCGAAGCCGGGACUUCGCACUAGUCGGGGGCCAGCUAGCUGUAAAAAAGGAGAUCAGUCAGCCCAUGCUAAAAUGUGUGAUCGAAACCAAAGGCAUUCAGAUCCUUUGCGAAGUCCACAGCGGAACUUGCGCCUCCCAUUCAGGACCCAGGGCCCUCGCUGCCAAGGUAAUCCGUCAAGGAUUUUACUAGCCCGCGAUAAUCUGUACUGCGAAUCGAGUCACGAGGUCUUGUGAAGCAUGCCAGAAGUUUUCCCCCCGCUCAAGCAACCCUUCGCAGUACACCAAGCUGAUCCCCACACAUGGCCACUUCAACGCUGGGGUCUGGAUAUUGUCGGACCACUACCUACGGCUCAAGGGAACCACAAAUUCACCUUCGUUGCCGUCGAGUAUUUCACCAAGUGGAUCGAGGCCAGAGCAGUAUCCACAAUAACGUCGAAGACCGCCCAAAAGUUCUUCUGGCAAAACAUUGUCUGCCAAUUCGGAGUCCCGUCCGAACUCACAGUCGACAACGGCAAACAGUUUGACAGCCAGGACUUCAGGGACUUCAGUUUCUCCAUCGGCACCAAGCCCGUCUUCGCCUCGGUAUACCACCCGCAAUCCAACGGUGUCGUCGAGCGCGCCAACGGCAAGAUUUUCACUGCCAUCAAGAAAAGAUUUCUCGACAACAAGAAGAGCAAAUGGGUCGACCAACUACCUGAAGUGGUAUGGGCCCUAAACACGACAGAAUGUCGGGCAACCGGAUUCACACCUUUUCGUCUACUAUAUGGAUCCGAGGCCAUGACGCCACAAGAGUUAAAGCAUGGGUCGCCCCGAACAAGCACAUCAGCGGUCCCCGAUGUCGACGAGCCAACGUCCAAGGAUCUUAUCGACGGAGACCGCGUCCUCGCCCUACAGGCCCUCAACAAAAAUCAGGCCCAGACCAAGGCCUGGCGCGACAACGCGGUUGUCCUAAGAGAGUUCAACAAAGGAGACCUCGUACUCGUCCGAACCACCCGGACAGAAUCACGGGGCAAGCUGGAACCAAAAUGAGAAGGUCCAUUCAUCGUCAAGUCGAAGGCAUCACCCAGUGCGUACAGGCUAGUAACCCCUUCCGGCGAAGACUUAGAGCACUCCUGUAACAUUGACAAUCUCCGCAAAUUUUUUGUUUAACCAUCAGGGCCCGCGCGCCCUUGUAAUCCAGCAAACAAUGGUAUUCCGGUCCGCACUCUUUUCCUCCCGGGGGGUGAAGUUUUUAACGAGGCGGAGCCAUGUAAUAUACCAGCAAAAAGCCCCCGCAAAAACAAAAAAUCAAAUGCAACGCGUCGAAAAAGACCGCUUCGACAGUCUUCGGCAUUCGACCACUCCGAAGUCACCGCGACAGGUAGCGUGCGAGAGUCCGCGCAAAAGACGCCUAAGGGUGCAGCCGGAAUAAGCACAACAAGUGUGUUAAUCGAAGUCUUUUAUCAAAAAGACACUCCGUGCAAAAGACGCCUAACGGUGCAGCCGGAAUAAGCACAAGUGCGUCAAUCGAAGUCUUUUUUAAAAAAGACACUCCGUGCAAAAGACGCCUAAGGGUGCAGCCGGAAUAGCACAACAAGUACGUCAAUCGAAGUCUUUUCUUAAAAAGACACUCCGUGCAAAAGACGCCUAAGGGUGCAGCCGGAAUAGCACAACAAGUGCGUCAAUCGAAGUUUUCUAUUAAAAGGACACUCCGCGCAAAAGACGCCUAAGGGUGCAGCCGGACAAGCACAAUAAGCGCGUCAUCGAAGUCUUUUCCGAACAGACACUCCGUGCAAAAGUCGCCUAAGGGUGCCGCCGGAUAAGCGCAACAAGUACGUCAAUCGACACUCCUCGCAAAAAGUCGCCUACGGGUGCAGCCGGAUCAGCACAGGCGUGCGAAAACGGCCAACAGGCCACAUUACAAUACAAGUUGCAGUUACAUACACACAGCGAGGGCACCAUAUACUACAUCGGCUCAACCUUCGGGGUGAUACCCAACUCUCUAUAAUUAAACAACAUUAUUCUCAAUUCCUCACCCUCAAAAAGAUUUCGCAGAUCCCCCUCUCCUAUGCUCGUCCCAAUCGGCGGGGACAACAGUUCUCGUUUACCAAUCCGGUCUACACGAAGACGGUCUCGCUCCAUCCCAAUACGACGGCGCCUACCACUUCGCGAAACCUCACCCACGCUAUGCUUUGACACCACCCCUCGCCGCCUGUACUUGGUCCUCGCACUAGGAAGAUCAGCCGCCUCGCCAACCUCCACACGCGGCGAGGACUCCGCCACGGCCACAUCUAAUGCAGCAAAAUAAUUCAAGCCUUCAUCCGAGAACUCUUCAGUCCAGGAAAACGAACUCCCAGAUUCACCAUCAGACUCAAAACACUCAGAUCCAGAACCAUACAAAUUAUCAUCGGCAGGCACAACGGUUGCGGCCGCCACAAAAUUAGUAUUGCCAGUAGCGGUUGCUUGCGCAGGCCCAAACGUCGGAACCUGCGCAGCCACCGGGGUUCAGUAUCACAAAAACAAAAGUUUACACCGAAAGCCCUAGCCCCUAUUCCGCCACCUGCGAAGGCCCGACCGACGCCGCUGGGUCCUCGGUAGCUGGUUCGCCCACCACCAUCGAAGUGUCUUCACCCGUCGGCGCAGUGGCCGGCGCGGGGUCUUCGCCAGCCCCAGUCGAUGCGGGGGUCACCAAGGGGCCCUCGCCAGCAUCGGAUGGCGGCGCCAGCUCCACCCCCGAUGCCUCGGGCAGUGUGCUAUCCAGAUCACCGAGGUCCUCGACCUCUUCAUCAUGCUCCAUCUACAGCAAUAACACAUUCAUUCAACAACCACACAAAUACACACACAUACCCACACAUAUAAUCACACAUAUGCACUUUUACCUGAUCCAUCGCCCAGUCGGACCUCUCCCGGACAAUCUCACGGUCGUGAGGGCCCCACAUCCUAUCGUAAAGCGCCCCAGCCGACCGCUUCAUCACCGGGUCCUCGACCUGGAAGAUUCCGCGCUCGAAGUCUUCGUCCGAUCGGUCGAGAAGACCUUGAAGUGCCUGUAUCCCUCGCGGGACAAGGCAUUCACGACCCCUUCGCGGGUGAUGAGGGAGGCGAAGGACAUGAGGCCCGUCACAAUCGUUGGGACCACCUCCAGCUCCUCCUGUAGCCACCCAAGGAAGCGGAGGCCCACCUCCUGACCGGACGCUUCAAAGGGAGCGGUCCGCGCACCAAGCUCCCGGUACGCGUCCACGAGCUGCGUGUGCGUCCGGUCGACCUCCGCGCGCGUAGAGGCCUCCGCUUUGUCCAGGCGGUCGCGCAGGCCGCAGAGCCUCGCUUCCAUCUCCUCGGCGCGUUGGCGGACGAGACUGGCCUCCGCUCGUGCAAGUUUGGCCUCGGCUUGUGCAGCCUGCGCCUCAGCAUAGGCUCUGUUCGCAUCCUUCCUCUCCUCCGCCAACUGACGCCUGAGAUCCUCCUUCUCGGCCUCCGCAGACGCCAACCUCUCUGUCAGCCUGCGGCUCUUGUUUUCCGCAGCUGACUUGUCCCGAUCAGCAUCCGUAUGCUGCGCCCGAAGGCGCUCGAUCCUGCCUUCGAGUCGUUGCCUCUCGGCAACGAACUCCGAAGUCAGGGCGCCCGACGCAACAUGGUCGGCGAAGGCGGCCGCCUACCACGAAAAAUCCAUCAGAUUCGCAACCACAUAAAAACAACGAACUAACGAAGUCCAAGACGACUUACAUGCUUCAGCUGCUGCGAUGCAUGCUUCAGCUGCUGGGACACAGAGCCCGCCACGUCUUUAGCGGCAGCGGCCGACGAAAUCUCGCCGCUGGCGCAGAAUUUGGACCAUGGGUCCUGCGAAGUACCCUUCGCUCCAACCGCCGCCGCAGGCGGAGUGGCCGCCACCGGAGCCGGGACAACAGCCAGCUGCCCAGCAUCCGACCCUGCACCAUAAUCUUGUUCAAGACCCAGUCCCCGUGGUAAAAAAACUCACCGACGAGUCCCCGGCCCGUGUGCGCAUCAAACAUCAUGACACCACCUACGCGGUAAUCCUUCACGCAGAUGUCUGUGUCGAAGUCGGCACCACCCGUCGUCGCUUCGCCGGUUCGCGCGUGGAGGUCGAGCACGGAGUCAUGAGGAUCUGGGACCCCUCUCGUCGCCUUCUUGCCAAGGUACGCAGGAGUCCAAAUCGGCUAUACAUCCUCAAUGUGAAGGUGGCACAACCUUGCUGCCUUGCUGCUCGUCGAGACGACGGGGCAUGGCAGUGGCACGAGCGCUUCGGGCACCUUAACUUCAAGGCCCUGAAGCGGCUCAGUGCCAAGGAGAUGGUACGAGGCCUACCGUGCCUUGACCAUGUGGAGCAAUUCUGCGAUGUCUGCGUGUUGACAAAGCAAAGACGGCUCCCCUUUCCCCAGCAGUCGAGCUUCCGAGCCAAGGAGAGGCUCGAGCUCGUGCAUGGGGACUUGUGUGGCCCGGUGACACCAGCCACACUAGGAGGACGACGCUACUUCUUGCUGCUCGUCGACGAUCUCUCCCGCUACAUGUGGGUGAUGAUCCUUGGUAGCAAGGGGAGGUUGCGAACGCCAUCAGGCGUGUGCAGGUCGCUGCGGAGGCAGAGUGCGGCCGCAAGCUGCGCGUGCUGCGCACCGACAACGGCGGCGAAUUCACGGCGGCUGAGUUCGCGUCGUACUGCGCGGAUGAGGGCGUUCAGCGCCACUACUCCGCGCCAUACAGCCCGCAGCAGAACGGUGUCGUCGAGCGACGCAACCAGACGGUUGUGGGGAUGGCUCGGGCUCUCCUCAAACAGAGGGGAAUGCCGGCUGCCUUCUGGGGAGAGGCGGUGGUGACAGCGGUUUACAUCCUCAACCGCUCGCCCACCAAGGCUCUCAACGGGAUGACAUCGUACGAGGCUUGGCAUGGGCGCAAGCCGGCGGUCUCUCACCUACGGGUCUUCGGCUGCCUCGCGUUCAGCAAGGAGCUUGGCCACAUCAGCAAGCUCGACGAUAGGAGCACCCCGGGGGUAUUCAUUGGCUACGCGGAGGGCUCGAAGGCCUACCGCAUCCUUGACCCAGGAACACAGCGUGUGCGCACGGCGAGCGACGUAGUGUUCGACGAAGGGCGAGAAUGGGCGUGGGACAAGGCGGUGGACGACGGCACGACUCCGACGUACGACGACUUCACCAUCGAGUACGUCCACUUUGAGGGAGCUGGGGGAGUAGGCAACUCUUCUUGCUGCUCGUCGACGAUCUCUCCCGCUACAUGUGGGUGAUGAUCCUUGGUAGCAAGGGGAGGUUGCGAACGCCAUCAGGCGUGUGCAGGUCGCUGCGGAGGCAGAGUGCGGCCGCAAGCUGCGCGUGCUGCGCACCGACAACGGCGGCGAAUUCACGGCGGCUGAGUUCGCGUCGUACUGCGCGAAUGAGGGCGUUCAGCGCCACUACUCCGCGCCAUACAGCCCGCAGCAGAACGGUGUCGUCGAGCGACGCAACCAGACGGUUGUGGAGAUGGCUCGGGCUCUCCUCAAACAGAGGGGAAUGUCGGCUGCCUUCUGGGGAGAGGCGGUGGUGACAGCGGUUUACAUCCUCAACCGCUCGCCCACCAAGGCUCUCAACGGGAUGACAUCGUACGAGGCUUGGCAUGGGCGCAAGCCGGCGGUCUCUCACCUACGGGUCUUCGGUUGCCUCGCGUUCAGCAAGGAGCUUGGCCACAUCAGCAAGCUCGACGAUAGGAGCACCCCGGGGGUAUUCAUUGGCUACGCGGAGGGCUCGAAGGCCUACCGCAUCCUUGACCCAGGAACACAGCGUGUGCGCACGGCGAGCGACGUAGUGUUCGACGAAGGGCGAGAAUGGGCGUGGGACAAGGCGGUGGACGACGGCACGACUCCGACGUACGACGACUUCACCAUCGAGUACGUCCACUUUGAGGGAGCUAGGGGAGUAGGCAACUCUUCUCCGAGUAGGUCUACCCUAGCCCCCAAGUCUCCACCGACUCCAGCGCCACGCUCUCCAGCUCCGGCUACAACGAGCUCUUCACCACCACGCACUCCAGCCACGACCCCGGCUACAGUGAGCUCUUCGCCACCACGUACUCCAGCACCGACAGUACCCUCUCCGGGAACGUCCUCUCCGACACCAGCUCGUGUCGAGCACGACCCAGUGGAGCUUGUGACCCCGCUCUCCCAUGACGAGGAGCGCGUCGACGCGUGCUACGACGGCGAGCUGUUGCGGUAUCGAAGGGUGGAGGGCCUUCUCAUCGACCCGUCGGUGCCGGGCCCGGCGUCUCGCAUUAUGGCAGGAGAGUUGCAUCUUGCAUGCGACGAUGGUGAGCCUCGGUCUUUCGCGGAGGCCGAGAAACAUGCGGCUUGGCGUGCCGCGAUGCAGUCGGAGAUGGACACGGUUGAGACGAACCGCACUUGGGAGCUCGCUGAUCUCCCUCAUGGUCAUCGCGCGAUCACCCUUAAAUGGGUGUUCAAACUGAAGAGGGAUGAAGCUGGCACCAUCGUCAAGCACAAGGCUCGCUUGGUGGCACGCGGUUUCUUACAACAGGAGGGGAUCGACUUCGACGAUGCUUUCGCCCCCGUGGCACGGAUGGAAUCCGUGCGACUCCUUGCGUUGUCAACCCAGCAGGGCUGGCACGUUCAUCACAUGGACGUCAAGUCGACGUUUCUUUACGGCGACUUAAAGGAGGAGGUCUACGUACACCAGCCGCUAGGUUUUGCGAUCCCUGGCAAGGAGGGCAAGGUGUUGCGCCUGCGCAAGACUCUCUAUGGCCUGCGACAGGCACCGAAGGCGUGGAAUGCCAAGCUGGAUUCCACGCUCAAAGGAAUGGGAUUCACGCCAAGCCCGCACGAGGCGGCCAUCUAUCGGCGGGGCAAUGGAGGAAGUGCCCUGCUGGUGGGUGUCUACGUUGACGACUUGGUGAUCACCGGCGCCAAGGAUGCAGAGGUGGCAGCGUUCAAGGAAGAGAUGAAGGCCACCUUCCAAAUGAGUGACCUGGGGCAUCUCUCCUUCUAACUGGGGAUUGAGGUGCACCAGGGAGACUCCGGGAUCACACUUCGCCAGACCGCCUAUGCCAAGCGCAUUGUUGAGCUGGCUGGGCUCACCGACUGCAACCCAGCCCUCACUCUGAUGGAGAGGCUGAAGCUGAGUCGCGACAGCAUGACGGAGGAGGUGGAUGCUACACAGUACCGGCGUCUUGUGGGGAGCCUUCGCUACCUCGUCCACACACGGCCUGACUUGGCAUACUCCGUUGGCUACGUUAGUCGGUUCCUGCAGCGACCGACGACGGAGCAUGAGCAGGCUGUGAAGAGGAUCAUCCGCUAUGUUGUGGGGACUCUCGACCACGGUCUCUACUACCCGAGGUGCCCUGGCGAGGCACACCUUGUCGGGUACAGCGACAGCGACCACGCCGGUGACAUCGACACUAGCAAGAGCACAAGCGGGAUCCUCUUCUUCCUCGGCAAGUGCCUCAUUAGCUGGCAGUCGGUCAAGCAGCAGGUGGUGGUCAUGUCCAGCUGCGAGGCCGAGUACAUAGCGGCCUCCACUGCUUCGACUCAGGCGCUCUGGCUGGCUCGACUGCUCGGUGAUCUCCUCGGGAGAAACACUAAAGCGGUGGAACUCAGGGUGGACAGCCAGUCCGCUCUGGCAUUGGCCAAGAACCCCGUGUUCCAUGAACGAAGCAAGCACAUCCGGCUGAGAUACCACUUCAUCCGAGACUGCUUGGCAGAAGGGGGCAUCAAGGCGCGCUACAUCAACACCAAGGAUCAGCUUGCAGACCUGCUCACCAAGCCCCUUGGGAAGAUCAAGUUUCUUGAGCUUUGCUCCAGGUCCGGGAUGGCCCAACUUUCCAAGACUUAGGGGGAGAAUGAUGGAAUAAGUCUUGAGCAUCUAGAGGACAACAGUCGCUUUUGACUGUCCUCUGUAGUCUCUUUAGCAUCUAGAGGACAGCAGUCGCUUUUGACUGUCCUCUUUAGCAUUUAGAGGACAAUCCUGUUGUGUAGUGUGUGUGAGAAGGUGUGGUAGUGUGAUAGUGCAGCCUCUAGGGCUAUAAAUAUGUGUCUCCAACCCUUAGAUGGGUAUGGCAUUGUGUAGUGUUUGAGGAAAUAAACAGAAAAUUGCCCCAACUCAUAGUGUCAUCCUCUUGAUGAGAGUUAGAGUCCCUGUACUUACAGGUUGACGAUAGCAGCUGCCUCGUGGAGGAAGAUGGCGUCGUGUAGGCCCUUGCCAGUAUCACCCGCUGGAUCAGAGAGGAUCGCCAGCCAGAAUGUCAUCGAUGACACGAGCUACGCGCUCGAGAGCAGCACGAACGCGUUCGGCAGCCACAUCGCGCUCCUGGGUCGCGGUGGCAGUCUCCUGUCGCGCCAGGCGACGGUCUGGAGGCAGGCUUCAUGCUCAGCAUCGAUCUGUGUCGCGGCGGCAUCGACGACAGGUGGCGGUUGUGGUUCCAGACCAGCCAUGGCCAGGCGAGGGCGCGGCCUAGGUGGCGCGCAGAGGGAAGGGAGAGUAGAGGGCGCAGCCUAGAGGUGGCGCGCAGGGGGAGGGGGUGGCGCAGCCUAAGGGUUGUGUUGCACCUAGGGCAGCGGAAGGGGGAUAGGAACUUGAGCUCGUGAUACCAUGAUAGCAAUAUGGUUGUUGUCUGUAUUAAUGAUAGAGAGGAGUAAAGGCGCACAUAUAUAUAGAGAUAGAGAGGAGCAGGAGAUCUCAGGUUUAUGGAAACAAUACCCUGAGAUCUCCUUGAUUAGAGGGAUCCUAUCUUUACCCCUAAAUAGAAGGAUUGCAUCUAUAGCCUCCUAUAUGUGGCAGCAAUAAUAAGGCAAGUAUGCCCACGCCUAUGGCAGGAGUGCCUGUGCCUAUAUGGCAGGAGAGCCCACGCCUGAUAUAUCUGCUAACACAAAGAUAUGUGCACCAUCUGGCCUUAGUUUAGGGGCAGUUGUUGACAUCUUUUGGCUGUCUUCUAGAUGGAUGUUUUUGUGCCGUAAGGUGGUUUUUCUUUUAUUUUUUACUUUGUACUCUGGUCUCCUUUAGACCAUUGUUGUUUCUUCUAUCUUAAUAUAUCUAAUGUGCAGUUCUCCUGCGCGUUUUAGGGGGAAAAAACUGUUUCUACACAGAACAUUGCCUAUAAUGCUGGCAACAAUAAAAGAUUCUUAAACGGUAUGAUUGGUUGCUUGCACUAGACCUUAUGAAACACAACCCAAAGCAUAAAACGUAUGAAAUAUCUUGGUAUUUGGUUGUCCUGCACAGGCAAGUUGUGUUCACUAAGAUUGUGUUUGUUUGCUUAUACUGUGUUACAUGUAGUCACCGCCAGUUCUAAUAGAGGCAGGGGAGGAAGAUUUUAUUUUUGCAUGUCCCAUCAGCUUGUGCAAAUCUACAUUGCCUAAUACGCAAUACGACAAAAUUUAGCAUACUAGCUAACGCUGCAUUGGAAUUGCUUUGAGCACCAUCCAAACCUAUAAGAGCCUCUGUGGCCAACCAAACACAGUUAAACGGCAAUGCACGAGCCUAGAUACAUGCUAAUGCAAGCAGCCAAGCAAACCCUAUAGGAAGUACCUGGUGCUAAAAGCUCUCACAAAAAGUGGGGUCCGAGAAAGGGGAUUUCUAGGCAGACUUACCCUUGCUUGUUUUGCUAGGAGGCUGAUACGAACCUACUACAUCAAAAUAAAUGGCAUUUUAGCAGGUGACCUGAACCUAUCUUCCACCCCUGAAUAAGAACUAUGCAGCAUUCGCGGUUUCGCACAUCACCCACAAGAAUUACCUUCUGUUCUACAACAUGUACAUCAUCACCCACCUGAACCAAAGAGCUACAGGAGUGCCAAGUUGAACCUUGUCUUGAGUACCGAUACCGUAGUGUUAAUGUUGCAGCAUAUCACAAAAUACAAGUUUAUACAGCUAGCACCACAACUAAAGCAAAAUCUGGAAUAAGACAUACCAAUCACCACUGGAACAAGAGACAGCCAGAGUGUCAAUGGAACUGGUUGUCCAAGGAUAAACUGGGAAGCAGCCGCAUUGAAGAAUGGCUCGAGAGCUGUGUUGUAAUUUGUAAAACUGGAAACAUCUUAGCACAAGUAAACAGGAGGUAGAGGGAUAAUAAUAGAAAUAGAAAAUCAACUUAUCAUAGAAUCACCUUUAAUAGUGUGGGCAAAUGACACAGCUACAGCAGCAAAUGACACAGUGCUUGUUACAUGGCCAAUGGCAUGGCAAACCGCAACUGGAACAAGCUGCUUCAGAAGUGUUGAGUUGAUUGGCUACAGAAGUACAAUUUAUAUUAGUUUAUCAGUUCCUUCCAGAAACGAUGUCACUGAUACAAAAAAAAACUAUGUAGAAAAAACUACUGGUGAUUAAUAGAUACAAGAACAUUUCGAAAACACUGGAGAAUAUAUAUAUAUUAUGUAUAAUUUACCACCGUAUGCUAAUUCUUCUUAGUGUAUAAGACAUCAAAAAUCAGAAGCACUACAUAUGCACCUCACUACGCAGUAGGAUCCAACAUUAAAUAUUUUUUAUUUAGAGAAUUAACAAUUUAGUUCCCAUGCACACCCUGCUCAUAAAUGUCACUGAAAACGCUUAACUGUGAGUUAGAUAGGCUGUUAUCUAUCAAAAAAGAAAAAGAUCAUGGAGGUGUUGACUAUACCGCGCGCUUUGGGAUGCCGAAGCUCCAGCCAAUAAGGCAGUAUAGUACUCCAAUAAAAAGAUGGCUCACUGACACAAAACUACAAGAAUAGGUACAAGUUUUAUAUGUUAUUGCAGCUGGUGCCAACAUGAAAGACACAAUGCACACUUAUCAAGGAAAUAUACUAUGGAUAGGGGAAGUAGUCGAAGAUCUUCUUGUUGAGGAUGUUAAAUAUUACAUUCAGAAAAUACCUGCAAGGUUUGAUCACAAAGCGACAAUUAAAACUAUUAUCCAAAGGAAUGUUUUUUACACCGUUUCAUGCAGCCAGAUUAGCAAUAGAGGUAAGUGAACAUACCACAAGAAGAAGAAGAAACCUGUGACAAGAGCUGGGUAUCUCUCUGCAAAUCCCUGGGGCUUGGCUUCUCUGUAAUAGAAAAUUCCUGUUACUAAUGACCAGAAAAAUAAUUUUCUUAGCUGCAGCGCUGUGUGCUCCAGACGUCAACAAAGGUUAAAAAUUCACAAUAUGCUAUGGAUCGUUGUGAAUUUCACAAUCAGAACUUAAUCUUAGUUCAAAAGUUACCUGCAUCCACAUGAUGAAUAAUGGUGUAAAUACUACAGAUAGCGUGCAUGCAUAUAUAUUUUUCCUGGGCAUAUAAACUUCUACCGUUAUGAAACUUUUACACAGUAUCAAUGUUUUUAUUGUUAGGACAAGACAAUAUAGUUAAGAAUGUAAAUGUUUGUAAUUUUAAGGAACUCGCAUAUUAGAGAAAUGAGAUUUAAAUUGCAAUAAAUCAUCGAGGUGUUUAGUCUAUAAAUUGCCGGUUAUACAAACUAGUGUAGGUUCACUCUUAGGUGGCGUUUGGUUCACAUAUUGGUAACGUAAUGGGUAACCGAUAUGAUUAAAUCAUGUUUGUUUAAAUCCAACCGUAAUCGAUACCAUACUACAAAUGGAUACCGCACUAUUCAAAUUUGUUACCACCGGUAUUCGAGUGUGAAUCGUUACCAUUACCAUUUACGUUAUAUUUCGCGAACCAAACGGCACCUUAGCUUUCAUUCAUUUAUAAGUUAGAGAAGAGGCAAAUUACUUCAUGGUAGCUCCAAUUUUGACAGCUGCAUCGAAUACUCAAAGGUCUUCUUUGAAUUUAGGCCUUGUUCGGUUAUUCCUAUCCCAUGUGGAUUGGAUAAGAUUGAAAAAAAAUUAUAAAAAAAUUGACUUGUUUGGGAUUUAAACUCACUCAAUCCACAUCGAUUGAGAGCAAAACGAACAAGCUACAUGGAACAUUGGAAGUGCAAUGGCACAGCCCCAAUUGUACUCCACCACUGAAACAAAGAGUACGCACUACACAGAGCUGCAGCAAUAAUCAAGCGAACUGCACUCAGUGGGGUUGCUAAAUAAAAUCUCUACAUAAGGUUAAAUAUAGGCUUUAGUACAAGCCUAGAAGCUGGAAUCAAUGUGGGCUACCACAUCAUAGUGGCGUACUAUUGCUCUAUCCAGAUAGUAUAGAUCCGUUCAGCUGAAGAAGGCUAAGUGGUCAAGAUCUAAAACUCUGCUUCUAUAAGCUUCCACGAAUGCAAAACGACACGGCCCCAGACUGUUGUUGCUUGCACUAAUGCAAUGUACGGCGCGCUGAGACGACUUGGAAGAAAGGGAUGCACUAACCCAGCGGGACCUGAGGAGGCUCCGGCCGCAGCAUCGCAGAGGAACCGCCGCCUCGCUGGAUGAGAAAGGGAGAUGAAGGAAGAAGCGAGGACCGGAGCCGGACGGAGCUGCCUCCGGCAGACGAGGCGGGUGCCCUCGGAGACGUAGGCAGCUACGAAAGAAGGAGCGCCGACGCGACGUUGGCGUUGGGACACAGAAGCGCCAAUGGCUGCGGCGGCGCCGGGAAUUGUUCCGGCCGCCGCCAUUUAGGCCUGUUGGGAGUUGGGACUUGGGAGUGCGGCGCGGUGAAGGGGAGAGUGGGGAGGGCAGUGGAGGGUUUGUUUGAACAGUGCGCGUUCGAGGGGACAAGGACAACUGAGAUUAUGGAAAUGUGAUAGCAGUAGGCCUUUUGCCGGGCUCCGUUGGCAAGGCUCCGGCACCUCAGUUCGUUUGGUAAACAGUUUUUUUUUUUUUUUUUGCUCCCAAGUCCCAACACACACAAAAAACGGCUUUGAUUCUUGAAGUACUCUUGAUGAGAAACCGUUUUUUUAACUAUUUGCAGAGCUUUGCGAUGAGCCAAAGCGAGAGUCGUUCAAAGAGCUAUACCAAAGAGACCCGUACAACUAAAGACGUACAAGUUCAAUUGUCUCCUAUAUAAAAACUAAGUAAAAUCUCUAAUGUUAUAAUAUAACAUUUUUAUACACGUGUGCUCCCAUUCCGUGAUUGUGUGUCGUGCAACCACUCCCCGCACUCUGCACCCGCCCCCGCUCUAGCUGCGAACGAACCCCCACUAGGCGCCAACAACUUUGUUCACCUGUUGUGCAACGCGGAACAACCACACCUCCUUCUCGCCCCCAUCGCCAUGCGCCCCAUCUCCCACCACAUGUGCUCGCAUCUCGCUCUCCUCUCGCCCCCGCGUGCCGCCACGGCCCCACAACCGUCGUCGCCUCCCCUCCUCUCUCGCCCCAUCCCUCCCAACUGCCCCCGCCCUCAAUCUAUGGGCCUUCUACUCUUCGACAGCGACGACCACCACCUCACCCUCGAAAAUGCGGUCCUAGGACAGAACCUGGUGUCACGAAGCAAGAAGAUGAUGCCGUGGACGCCCCCUACGGCGAGAGGGUUCCAGCCAUAUAUAUAUUACUAGGGUUUGAAGAUAUUUUAUUUUUCAUAAUUAUCCCAUUUUUAAUACUAAAAAUAAUUUCAGAAAAGGUUGAAAUCGUUUUUAAUAUCCGAAAAAUAUCUCGAAGGCUCCCAAAAUUCUAGAAAAAAUCCUAGACAUGAUUUGGCACCCAAUGAACUCAAAAAACAUAUUUUAAAAUUUUGUAAAAUGUUUUUAAUUACCUCAAAUAAAUGGAUUUUGAAUUUCAAAAAAUAGAAAAAUAUUCAGAAAAUUAUGAAAAUUUGCCGGAAAUUUCUACAAGACAUAUUAACAUGUUUCAAACAAUUCUUGCACUUAGAAACACUAUGAAACAGCAUGAAUGCAACAACCAAGGCACUUAUAGGUCUCACGCCAACAUAGAACAAAAUAAUUCUCUAUUGUUUUAAUAUAGGGAAAAGAAAGCGAAGAAAUGAAAGAGUAACACCUGUUUUUUAGUACAAAGCAAAGAAAUUUGUAUACCCCAAAAAUCAGGAUGUUACAAUGAGGAACUUCUUCGGGUCUGUCAGACCAUCGUAGAUAGGUAGUGUAGAAGGCAUGUACAGUGGUGGCCAUGUUGUGGCUUGUGGUUCUGGUGUCACUGGGGAAGCUUCAUCAUAGAGGAAAUUUUGGGCAUUGUACACUUCGUGACGAAGAUUGUCAUGAUCACGUCCUUGAUCCAUGAAGGUGUUCAUGUUUUCGUGCGCUUCAAUAUUGCACAUCUCUUUAGUUGCUUCAUCAAUCUUCCUUUGGAGCUCUGAAAGACGAAGCAUUUUUUCCUUGCGCUUCUCCACUUGCUGGUGGAUGAGUUCAAGGUUGCUGAUUUCCUCAUCAACCUCUUCUUCAUGGGGUGGGGGGAGCUGAUGGCCUUCUUCUUAUGGUUCCUUGCUUCUCUCAUGAGAGCUUUGUUCCCUUGAUUGGGAUCGAUCAGUGCAAGGAUGGAGCAAUCGUCAUUGCUUUCUUCGACGACAUGGUGUAUGUUGAUGUGGUCGUGAAAUCACUGGAGGUGGCGCCAAUGUUGGUCACUUGUUUUCAAUUGUUGCAUGGAAACAAAAACAAGGCAACACAAAAUUGAGAAAUAAAAACAUUCAUCCUCAAGUUAAUACACCUUUGGUCUGAUAUUUUGAGGACGAAGGUUUGAACGUAUAACAAAAGGCGGAAUUGUCAUAUACUUGAUUCCAACCCUUUGAAGGUAUUGAAAACCAAGGCGGUAUGUGUUAUGAAAACCUUCGUCCAGAGAAGGACAAAGGUCUUUGAACAAGAAUGUAUAUCAGAAGUGAAAUGUGAUGCAAAGAGACAAAUGAAACAACACACGAGAACUUAUCUAUGAUGCCUUAGCAUUUUCAAUAUGUCCCUUAUUACAUUAGGCGAAUUUACAAGCAUACCUUUGGCUCCUGAGCAAUGGAGUGCACGAAGGUUCUUCGAAGGCUAAGCACUACGAAGUUUGGGCUCUUGCCAAAGGUACUUUAUGCAGGAUAUUGUUCAUCUAUUUAUAGGGAAGACAAACUGACUUUGUACAGAUUUACAAUAAUGCCCAUCAAGGAUUUCAUAUGUUGUUUUCAGAUGAUAUAAGUAUAGUAUUGUAUUUUUUUCGCCUUCGCCUUUGUGGGUCUCAACCUUCGUUAUUCAUUGACUCCCUUUUUGACUCAUGCUUGAAGCCAUUGCCUUUGUUUGUCGUUUUCUGCUGCUUGCUCAUAGACGAAGCAUCUUUGAUUACUGCUUCAGCUGAAGGUCAUCUUCUUCUAUAAGAAGAAACGUUCCUAAAACACAUUUACUCAUGGCCAAAGUUAUAUGUUAGGCAGUUGAUGGUUUCUUCGCCAACAAGUGGUCUUCAGCAUGGUUUUUCGUUGUGCCCUUAGGGCAAUCAUGUAAUACAACUAAUCAAAGGACCUUCAGCAUCAUAGCCCCCCAACACCUACUAACCCAGUCAAUAUACUUCUCUGAACUCCUCCUAAUUGGCAAAAGAAAAAUGCUAUCGUAUAAUUUGCCUUGAGCUAUCCAAAUGUUUCCACUAAAGUCAUUCAAGACUUUGUGUAGCUCUCAUGUCCAUGGACCAAUCUGCAAUCUUAUUUUCUCAUAGAAAUCCUUAGUCCAUACAUGUUUGUCAUUAAUUACUCAAACACAACGAAGGGCCCUAGAUGCUCUCAUCAUUGAAGAAUACUGCUAUAUUGUAUACGGUCGAGGGAGACAUAUGAGGACAAUAUGGAGUCAGUGUUAGGCUAUGACCAGUAGAUUAUGCAUAUGAUCGUGUAGAAUACUAUUUUGUAUUGUAGAUUGCACUGUUUGUAGAGUGAAGUUUGAAAUAGGCGAUGGGAGUGCAAGAUAGCUAGGGAUGAAAACAAAUACUUAUUCAAAUAUCAAUUUUGUCUUUUUUUCUUUGAGUGCGAAUAAAUAGGAUAUAGAAUCUUUUAUGCAAAUUUGUAUUCUUGUUUUUAGCAUUGAGCUUAUAAAGAUUCAUAAAAGAAAUAUCAAAUUUAUCAUAUAUCUUCCCAAAUGAUAGAUAUAAAAUUCCAAUACCUUUUCAUUUUUUGUUUUCUGGAGUAUGUGGCAGAACCACCCGAAUUAUUCCAGCUUAAGUGCCUAAGUCACGCCUCGAGGGCCGUAACACACUUAAGUGCCUAAGUCACGCCUCGAGGGCAGAACCACCCGAAUUUUUUGUUUUCUGGAGUAUGUGGCAGAACCACCCGAAUUACUCGAUGCAGUACAAGGGAUCAAGCAGUCUCAUUAGCUGCGAGAAGCAGACGAUUCGAAUCAAGUUUUAACCUUGCAAGGUAAACCUAAACACACGGCAUGUCAGGGUACUCCGACCCCACACAUGACAACUGUCCCCAUCGAUUCCCCGUUCGCGUCCAGGCCUCACCGCCUUGGCAUACAAUGCUCCACUAACCACUAACCUCGGUUGCCGUCGUGCAGUGACCGCACUUGUACCCACCAUAGCUAGCAUGGGAGACCCAGUCUCAUGUCGCAUGAGGGAUAAAGUCUGCGUUCGGCUUCACUCAGGUACUAGGUUUACCAGUUACCAUUUUUCCCGGCAUGUGCUUAGUACGUUCAAAAGCUUGACUCGGGUAUCCACACAUUAAUCCUUAAUUCAUUUUCCCGUCUCACGGUCAAGGCAUCCUCCCUGGAUCCAAGUCCAUAGACUAACAUAGAUCCUGUUAUCAAGAUGAAUACAAUCAAUUUCUGACCUCGCGCGAGUGCUAGAAAAAUCACUCGACUUCUACCGAGAUCCUGAUUAGCAAAGCAGCUACUCGACCUAGCAUACUGUCACACCCGGAUUUCGGGGGCACCAAGACCCGGACGCGAACAUAAUCACCAGGUGUGCUGGGACCAAGUCUCACACAUAUGAUGAAUCAUGGCACAGGAUCGAAUGUCACAUCUUUACUACAUAACAGGAUUUCUAUACAAAAUAAAUAAAUAAUUACAUUAUACGGAGACAACGGUCCAGCAACCCAAAGUUGACUGGGAGACGACGGCCUAGAUCUCUCAAGAACUCAUCACAGCAUCCUCCAUGCGCCUCAUCAUGCGGUACCUAUUCUUGACCUGUGGGGGGUGUGAGACAGCAAGAGUGAGCUCACGUACGUUCAUCGCUCAACAAGUUGUAGGGAAUAAUGUGCAUGAGCUCGCCAAAAGUGGGAGCUCACGUGAAGUGUAAGGCUUACCAAAGAGGAUGGUUAGAGCUGAGCAUUGCUUUUAAAGUUGGUCAAAAUUUUAUUAGCAGUUACUAAGUAUAAGUAAAUACCAAACCAAUUAAGUAGUAGAACAAAAGUAACAUCAUCAUCUGCGAUGCAAUGCAUAUGACAAAUUGAAUUUAGUUCCAUAAAUUAAUCAUCAGAGAGUCCUGAGCUGCUCAUGACCGUGAGCUCGGCUAGUAUACCAGUUUUACACUCUGCAGAGGUGGUACCCUUUACCCACAAGUCAUGUUACCCAUCUGCCAAGGGAUCGCGACUUCCCAUACACCUCUACCGAGGAGGCGAGGCAGGGUAACACUACGAGGCCUUUACAAAGUUCCACUAGCUUCAGAAAACCCGCUACAGUUUAUAGGAAGCUCCAAUGCAGGGUUCUUGCCUGACCGCCAUCGCAGCAAAAUCAACCAAGGACCUCCCUACAUUGACCACUCCCCUACUGCCCUUGCCCCUUUCGGGUAAGGUAGUCCUCCACUAGCUUUCCUAAUUAAUCAGCCAAGGGCGUCCAUAAACCCUUGUGGUGGCACGUGUUUCUCAAGUUAAGCUCUAUGUUCUAAUUAACAUUAAUGGUCUUGAUAUGAACAGUAAAUAACAACAGAUAACAAAAGUAUAAUCAUGAAUAAUGUGUAUCUCAAUGCCCAAAACCACAUAUAGCACUAGCAAGUACUACCCAAAAAGUUCAGUGGCAAGCAAGGCAUAAAGAUAGACAAACUAGGGUAACCUAUUAGGUCCCAUCAAAAUUAACCUAUGCAGAUCAUUAUGAUUAAUUAGAACAUGAGUGGGUAAAAGAAGUGAUCAAGGGCACAACUUGCCUGGCACUUGAGGUUCCAGGUACCAACUUGCUUUUCAGAUGACACGUGUCCUCGCAAGUCGUAGCAAUACAAACAAACAUGGUAUAGAUAAAAUUAACAUCACACCAAACAUAAGAACAAACUAAAUAAUAAUAAUCUACGCGUUGCUACGAGACUAACACAACUUGAAUGGAUCAAAUCGGAGUUAAAACGAAGGAGUUAUGAUUUUCUAAAGAUUCUAUGUGUUUUGUACAAGAUUAAAUGGGAUAUAAAUUUUAAUGUGACUUUCAUGUCAAAACAGUGGUACUAGAUGAUAGACAAUAAUAUUACAAAAUUAUAGGAAUUGGAACAGAUUAAUUUGGGCUUAAUAUGAAUUUUCUAUGAAUUACCCAAGUUUUACAAUUAUUUUUAUACUAAAAAUCAAUUUCUAAAUCUAUUUUCCGGUUUUAUUUAAUUCCUAGACUGCGCCUCAAUUUAUAUAGAAGCCAGGGGCCUCAGCGCAAGAAUUCUUAUGACUCAGUAAACACCCCGAGGGGACGGCAGGUUUAUUCCAGUAAAACAUAAGGUCUCUUUUGAAAGAAGCGCACGACGAAGGGGUAUUGCCAGAUUAGGACUGUCCGAUCAGGAAUCUAGGGCUCAGGUUAGUUCGGCGCAGUACGCGAACCGGUACGCACAAUGGACCGUCGGAUCUUGAUCCAAGGGCCUGGAUCGAACGACUCGAAGGCGAAAGCACUGACCUAAUCUGGUCCAUCCGUUUACAAUCCUACGGAUCCGAUUGCCCCAGCGAAAGGUUACUACCCAGGUUGAUCUGCACCGUCCAUCCAACUAAGGACGGUGGCCGCCGCAUCUCCUACCUCCUACCCACGGCCGGCGAAGAAAGCGGCCACCGCGGUGGGGAACACCGACGAGCUUCCCCAACACAUGCCCCUAGCCCCAGCGAAAGGUUACUACCCAGGUUGAUCUGCACCGUCCAUCCAACUAAGGACGGUGGCCGCCGCAUCUCCUACCUCCUACCCACGGCCGGCGAAGAAAGCGGCCACCGCGGCGGGGAACACCGACGAGCUUCCCCAACACACGCCCCUAGCCCCCAAUUCCUAAAUCAAACAUGCCCCUCCUAUGUGUAUAACAAUGCGAACAACCAGAGGGGGUUCUUACAGGCUAUAGAAAGGCAACGAUGCCUAGCCACGGCGCAGGACGAAUCCGGUUGCGCGGCGGCGAAAUUUCGGUCACCUAGUGGUCCUCUCCUUCCACCAAGGUGAUCCGCAGCUCCGUGGGGACUCGGUGAAGCUUCCCAGUCGAACCACAGGGCCACGGCUGCAGUACAGCGCUCGGUCGACGGUGGUGGAUCUCGCCUCCUGCGAACGUAGCACUGGCGGCGGUGAUUUUCUGGUCGCGAUGAGAGCUGACGAGAUGGGCGGGAUAGCGCAACAGGGCGUGGACCUGAUCUUUAUAGAGUUGCGCCGCAAGGGAAUCCGCUGGUUGACCACAACGGCCACGCGAGCUCCGCUCCCAACGCCACCGGACUCGGCAAGGUUGCUGGCGAGAGAGGGAGGUGGCGCCUGACAGCCAGGGCCCACACGCAGCGAGAACGCAAGAUCUGCGACGCGCGCGCGUAGAAACCUGACGUGCAGGACCCGCGCGGCAGAGACAAAGGGAUGAGGGCAUGUGACUGCGCACGGGCCCAUCUGUCAGGCGUGCAACUACACCAGGCGCACGCGGAAUCCACGGCUGGGCCGCGUGGGGAAGGUUAAUGGACCGAGUGACUGAUUUGGGCCCAUGCGAGUCUGAUCCUCAUUCAUUUCCUUUUGAUAUUUCCUGUUUUUCUUUAUUUAUAAUUCAUUUGAAUUCAAAUUUUGAAUUCAGCUUAAGUGCAAAUUCGAAUUCGUGUUAACCAUGCAAUUUGGUCACAUCAACAUAUGAUGAAAUUAUUUAGUUAUACUAUUAUUUUAUAUUGAAUAAUAUUCAUUUCUCUCCUCUAUUUCCAUGGUUUUAUUUUCAAGUUAGAGUUUAAAUUAUGUUUUAUGGAUCCAUUGAUAUGUUGUUAAUGACAUAUUUAUUUUAUUAAACACAAUGCACAAUCAAGUAAAAACUCAGCAUGAUGCAAGAUUUAUUUAGGUGUCUCUGGGGUAUUUAUUUAAUUGUGUAAGUGGGGUGUUCACAUAUGAUGGUAAGUAGAAAUAACACACAUAUAGAUAAAGGAAUUAAUUUCUCCUCUUUUAUUAUAUGUUACAAACUGGGUGUUACAAAUCCUACCUCCCUUAAAAAUAAUCUCGUCCUCGAGAUUUGUAAUAAAGAGGAUAUAUGAAGAGUGGUUUGCAAUUUAGCUUUUAGUUUCUAAUUAGUUCAAAAUCAAGAGUCUCUCUUUUUUUCAUUAGUAAGUGAUUAGGAGAGCAUGGGUAUAUAUAUGUAUGUCCACUUUAUUAUGUAGGGUAGAAGAUGUCUUUAGAGCAUAGAUAGGUUUGGUUAAGAAAGGGUAGGGUGAGGAAAGAUUCUAUCCAAGAUUGUGGAUCUUGAUUACUUUUGAAGAUCUAGCUUGAAUCUUAUCCUUCCUUGAUUUGAUGAGCUCGAUCAUCUUCGAUCUUCGUUCUUGAAGUCUUUAUCCGAAUUAGGGACAUGUAGUUAGGAUAACUUGUAGGUAAGGACAAAUGGUUAACAGGCUGGUGGCAUGGCAACAUCUAGGAUGGGAGGGAUGGUCACCAUGAAUAUGCUGGUAAGUUAUUUGUUCAUGGGUGGUUUGGUCUGAUGUACUAAUUUAAGUUAAAACAUGGCCAGCAUGGUCUAAUCUAUUUCACUAGUAUUAACUAGUCUGUUAAGUAACUCACUUUAGAUUGGACCAUAUUAGAUUAGAUGGGAUCUAGAUUGGAUUGGUAUGACUAGAUUAGACUAGAUAAUAUCUAAUUACUUUGGAUUAGAUCAUGGUUGUUAUUCUAGAGUGGGAUAAAUAUGCUAAUUAGGGCAUGAUGAAUCCAUAAAGAUAAGGUAGAAUUUUUUGAGAUAAGAUGGAUCUAUGGGUGUAGAAUACGAAUAUUUUAAGAUGAGAUGAAUAUUGUUAGGCUAGAUACUUUAAUGAGGGAUAAUCUAGUUUGUCUAGUUAUUUUUAUAAGCAAUUUUUUUCUAUAAGUAUAUGCAGAUGUAAUUGUGGACAUUACUCCUCAACCCAUCACACUCAAUCAAAGAUCCAAAUCAAACAAAUAUCAUAAGAACAAUCAUUCGAGUGCAUAGAUACCUCAAGAAAAUAAUUUUGUUUUUUUAUUCCUAAAAGUAGGUCUCUUAUUCCUAAAGGUCACUUUAGGCACAUGAUUUCAAAGUGUGAAAUCCACAUUUGUAUUUAGAAAAGAAAAGGUAAGAGUAAUCAGAGUAAAGCGGAAAUAGAUGAGAAAAGAUUAAGAUAAGUUUAGAAUUGAAUCAGAGUAGCAGAGGUAAGUAAAUAAGGAUUGUCCAGUUCUAUCUAGGUUUCGUCCUACAGUCAACAUUGCUCUGAUACCACUUCUGUCACACCCGGAUUUCGGGGGCACCAAGACCCGGGCGCGAACAUAAUCACCAGGUGUGCUGAGACCAAGUCUCACACAUAUGAUGAAUCAUGGCACAUGAUCGAAUGUCACAUCUUUACUACAUAACAGGAUUUCUAUACAAAAUAAAUAAAUAAUUACAUUAUACGGAGACAACGGUCCAGCAACCCAAAGUUGACUGGGAGACGACGGCCUAGAUCUCUCACGAACUCAUCACAACAUCCUCCAUGCGCCUCAUCCUGCGGUACCUGUUCUUGACCUGUGGGGGGGUGUGAGACGGCAAGAGUGAGCUCACAUACGUUCAUCGCUCAACAAGUUGUGGGGAAUAAUGUGCAUGAGCUCGCCAAAAGUGGGAGCUCACGUGAAGUGUAAGGCUUACCAAAGAGGAUGGUUAGAGCUGAGCAUUGCUUUUAAAGUUGGUCAAAAUUUUAUUAGCAGUUACUAAGUAUAAGUAAAUACCAAACCAAUUAAGUAGUAGAACAAAAGUAACAUCAUCACCUGCGAUGCAAUGCAUAUGACAAAUUGAAUUUAGUUCCAUAAAUUAAUCAUCAGAGAGUCCUGAGCUGCUCAUGACCGUGAGCUCGGCUAGUAUACCAGUUUUACACUCUACAGAGGUGGUACCCUUUACCCACAAGUCAUGUUACCCAUCUGCCAAGGGAUCGCGACUUCCCAUACACCUCUACCGAGGAGGCGAGGCAGGGUAACACUACGAGGCCUUUACAAAGUUCCACUAGCUUCAGAAAACCCGCUACAGUUUAUAGGAAGCUCCAAUGCAGGGUUCUUGCCUGACCGCCAUCGCAGCAAAAUCAACCAAGGACCUCCCUACACUGACCACUCCCCUACUGCCCUUGCCCCUUUCGGGUAAGGUAGUCCUCCACUAGCUUUCCUAAUUAAUCAGCCAAGGGCGUCCAUAAACCCUUGUGGUGGCACGUGUUUCUCAAGUUAAGCUCUAUGUUCUAAUUAACAUUAAUGGUCUUGAUAUGAACAGUAAAUAACAACAGAUAACAAAAGUAUAAUCAUGAAUAAUGUGUAUCUCAAUGCCCAAAACCACAUAUAGCACUAGCAAGUACUACCCAAAAAGUUCAGUGGCAAGCAAGGCAUAAAGAUAGACAAACUAGGGUAACCUAUUAGGUCCCAUCAAAAUUAACCUAUGCAGAUCAUUAUGAUUAAUUAGAACAUGAGUGGGUAAAAGAAGUGAUCAAGGGCACAACUUGCCUGGCACUUGAGGUUCCAGGUACCAACUUGCUUUUCAGAUGACACGUGUCCUCGCAAGUCGUAGCAAUACAAACAAACAUGGUAUAGAUAAAAUUAACAUCACACCAAACAUAAGAACAAACUAAAUAAUAAUAAUCUACGCGUUGCUACGAGACUAACGCAACUUGAAUGGAUCAAAUCGGAGUUAAAACGAAGGAGUUAUGAUUUUCUGAAGAUUCUAUGUGUUUUGUACAAGAUUAAAUGGAGUAUAAAUUUUAAUGUGACUUUCAUGUCAAAACAGUGGUACUAGAUGAUAGACAAUGAUAUUACAAAAUUAUAGGAACUGGAACAGAUUAAUUUGGGCUUAAUAUGAUUUUUCUAUGAAUUACCCAAGUUUUACAAUUAUUUGUAUACUAAAAAUCAAUUUUUAAAUCUAUUUUUCCGGUUUUAUUUAAUUCCUAGACUGCGCCUCAAUUUAUAUAGAAGCCAGGGGCCUCAGCGCAAGAAUUCUUAUGACUCAGUAAACAUCCCGAGGGGAUGGCAGGUUUAUUCCAGUAAAACAUAAGGUCUCUUUUGAAAGAAGCGCACGACGAAGGGGUAUUGCCAGAUUAGGACUGUCCGAUCAGGAAUCUAGGGCUCAGGUUAGUUCGGCGUAGUACACGAACCGGUACGCACAAUGGACCGUCGGAUCUUGAUCCAAGGGCCUGGAUCGAACGACUCGAAGGCGAAAGCACUGACCUAAUCUGGUCCAUCCGUUUACAAUCCUACGGAUCCGAUUGCCCCAGCGAAAGGUUACUACCCAGGUUGAUCUGCACCGUCCAUCCAACUAAGGACGGUGGCCGCCGCAUCUCCUACCUCCUACCCACGGCCGGCGAAGAAAGCGGCCACCGCGACGGGGAACACCGACGAGCUUCCCCAACACACGCCCCUAGCCCCAGCGAAAGGUUACUACCCAGGUUGAUCUGCACCGUCCAUCCAACUAAGGACGGUGGCCGCCGCAUCUCCUACCUCCUACCCACGGCCGGCGAAGAAAGCGGCCACCGCGGCGGGGAACACCGACGAGCUUCCCCAACACACGCCCCUAGCCCCCAAUUCCUAAAUCGAACAUGCCCCUCCUAUGUGUAUAACAAUGCGAACAACCAGAGGGGGUUCUUACAGGCUAUAGAAAGGCAACGAUGCCUAGCCACGGCGCAGGACGAAUCCGGUUGCGCGGCGGCGAAAUUCCGGUCACCUAGUGGUCCUCUCCUUCCACCAAGGUGAUCCGCAGCUCCGUGGGGACUCGGUGAAGCUUCCCAGUCGAACCACAGGGCCACGGCUGCAGUGCAGCGCUCGGUCGACGGUGGCGGAUCUCGCCUCCUGCGAACGUAGCACUGGCGGCGGUGAUUUUCUGGUCGCGAUGAGGGCUGACGAGAUGGGCGGGAUAGCGCAACAGGGCGUGGACCUGAUCUUUAUAGAGUUGCGCCGCAAGGGAAUCCGCUGGUUGACCACAACGGCCACGCGAGCUCCGCUCCCGACGUCGCCGGACUCGGCAAGGUUGCUGGCGAGAGAGGGAGGUGGCGCCUGACAGCCAGGGCCCACACGCAGCGAGAACGCAAGAUCUGCGACGCGCGCGCGUAGAAGCCUGACGUGCAGGACCCGCGCGACAGAGACAAAGGGAUGAGGGCAUGUGACUGCGCACGGGCCCAUCUGUCAGGCGUGCAACUACACCAGGCGCACGCGGAAUCCACGGCUGGGCCGCGUGGGGAAGGUUAAUGGACCGAGUGACUGAUUUGGGCCCAUGCGAGUCUGAUCCUCAUUCCUUUCCUUUUGAUAUUUCCUGUUUUUCUUUAUUUAUAAUUCAUUUGAAUUCAAAUUUUGAAUUCAGCUUAAGUGCAAAUUCGAAUUCGUGUUAACCAUGCAAUUUGGUCACAUCAACAUAUGAUGAAAUUAUUUAGCUAUACUAUUAUUUUAUAUUGAAUAAUAUUCAUUUCUCUCCUCUAUUUCCACGGUUUUAUUUUCAAGCUAGAGUUUAAAUUAUGUUUUAUGGAUCCAUUGAUAUGUUGUUAAUGACAUAUUUAUUUUAUUAAACACAAUGCACAAUCAAGUAAAAACUCAGCAUGAUGCAAGAUUUAUUUAGGUGUCUCUGGGGUAUUUAUUUAAUUGUGUAAGUGGGGUGUUCACAUAUGAUGGUAAGUAGAAAUAACACACAUAUAGAUAAAGGAAUUAAUUUCUCCUCUUUUAUUAUAUGUUACAAACUGGGUGUUACACAUACUAAUAUUCAUCUCAAAAAGGAAUCCUAAGUUCAUGCAACUAGAGGUUUCAAGCAACUCCUACACUUAAGUGCACAUUAUAAUCCUACAAGCAUUAAGUGUAGUAAAGUAACAUAUAAUAAUACGGUUAUGCAUAAAAACCGGGGCUUGCCUUCAAUUGCUGGGGCUGCGGGAGAUCCUCAACAGCAGCCUCGGAAGCUUGCUCCUGGUCCUCCGCUUGGACAGAUCCUUGCUCGGGGAUGAGCAUAUACUCUCCAUCGGCAAGAUUACAAUCUAAUGAAUGCAAUGCGUAAGAUAUAUGCAUGAUAUGAUAUGUGCUUUAGAAAUUAAAACUUUUGACGGUGUAUGAUCUACUUGAGUUAGACAAGGUUAAACCUUACUUAUGUAAGACUUCUGGGUGGUAUACUUGGUAAAUUGGAUCAAACUUAGCUAAGGUAAGUGGUAGGUUUAUUUUUGGGGUUCCACUGAAUUCCUUUUAAAGCCUUAGUGAGAAUUGACAAGAAUUCAAGUUGGACUUAUUGGAGUGAGGUGUAUUUCUUAUUUCUUUUUCUUUAUUCCCCUUAAGUUUUUGGAGUGGGUUUGAACUACAGGUUGCCUUAAUAAAAUUCCAGAAAUUUUGCAAAAAUUACAGUGGCUUAUUACUGGUGUAUAGUUCUCUGUCUCAAAAUUUGGGGAUCAGAAAGUGAAUAGUUUUCUCUGGACAAAAUUAUCAAAUUUUAGGGUAGAAGGGGUGCUUUGAACUACAACUAUUAUUUAACAGUAGGUAAUUCUCUAAAACUUAUUUUUGCUGGCUUUUAGGUGCUAUAACAUGACUAGGCACAAAAUUCUAGCCAUUAAUAUUUAUUAGUUAUUUUACUAGGGUUUUCUCAAGUUUCUAGCCAAAGAGGUGCUUUCUACUACCACUAUAUUUGAAAAAUAUCAAACAACAGAUUUCUGAUUUUUCUUAGCUUCUAUUUUGCGCAAGAGCAAUCAUUCUGAAGUUUGGCAUCUUUUUGCUUAAGGGAAGGGGUGGUAUGCAUUAACUGGAUUAAAUGGCCUUUCUUAUAAAAUAUUAGCAAUAUGUAUUAUUUUGCAUCUUUUCAAUGGGUUUGUAUUUUCUUCUGGUGGUUUAUCUCAUUAUUGACUUAGCAAAAUUUUGGUUCCCCAUUAUUGCAUUAAUAUAGGUUAUUCAUGAUUUAUUUAGAAAAUGCCUCCUUAUCAUAUUAUAUUUGAUUACCCUACUUAAAAUGAUGGGCUGAGGUGUUCAUUAUUUUUGCAGUGGGGUUCUGGUGGUUACAAGUCCACUGGAUUUUUAUUAUCAACUUUGGGUCUAGUUUUGUAAUUCUAAUAAUUGAUUUCCAGUUGGAAUAAUGCUAAAUAAAACAUUUUAUUUUAAAACUGGCCUGGACUAAAGGUCUCUUUAUUUUUCCUAGGUUCUCUGUUACUUAAGCAAACUAGGAAAAAUAAUUUCACUCGGUGUUCAUUAAUUUCUAAUGCCUUUCUGAUUUUUCCUAAGUGUUGGGCAAAACAGCUUUAAAUAAAUAUCUACACUAUAUAUUUCAAUACUGGGGUUCCUACUAUUUUUAAACAGUGUCUAAAAGAGGUUUGAAUAUCUACAAAUUUUCUUAGGUUCAACACAGAAGUAAAACUAAUUUUCCUUAAUUAAACAAGGUUUGGUCAGUUUCUGUUUUUAAUUUUAAACUCUAAAAAUUAUAACAGAAAGCAUAGGAUUUAUUAUUUUUAAAUGAUAGUUCAUAAAAUUUAGGAUCUAGCAAAAUUGGUUUGACAACUUUUGAUUAAGAAUUUAUCAAGUUAUGGAUUUUCUAAGUUCUCUGGUUAUUUAAAAAGAUUAACAGAAUUGAUUAAAUGGAAAACUACUUUGCACUGGGGUCCCUGGCGCGUGUUUUAAGUUUUCCUCACGGAUCACUCCCUGGGCUACUAUUCAAAUGAGUCACUGACAUUGCAGAAAACCCCCCGGGUUCUUCUAAUCCUAACCCGAGGUCCUUCUCCCAACUUAAACAGUAACCGCGGUGGAAGAAAGGGCGGAGGGACUUACCGGCGGCGAGAUUGCUCCGGUGAGGUGGUCGAGGACGUAGGGGAGGUCUCGGGGAUCACAGCGAUGUGUGGGUCGCCGUCGGGGAUGGUCGGAGUCAGCCGGUCCACGUGUGCAGGCGGAGAUGCUCGUCGGCGGCGAGGAGUCCGGCCUACUCGCGGCGCGAUAGUUCAAUUGAACGGGUCAGAGAGCUUCACGGGAUGCCAGGGAAGAUGUGGGUGCAAGGAAUUAAACAAAGACUCACUGGUUAGCUCGGUCCACGCGCGGCGGCGGAAGAUCGAAGUCCGGCGAGGGUGAAAUCGCUUCUCCGGUGAGGCAAUGCCUCGGCUCAAGCUUGGAGAAGCUUCACGGCUUCACUGGGAAGUGAUCCAGGGGCUAGGGUGAGGCUGGAGUUCAAAUAAAAGGGGGUGGCCACGAUGGCCGAGCCUGGGCAGGGAUGGCGGGCGACGGUGCUCGCUUUUCACGGCGAACUCUGGUGAUCUUUGGCUCGGGGUGUGCGGUGCCAACGGCUAAGGCCUCUUGGACGCAUUUAUAGGCGAGGGCACGACAGAGGCGCGCGGGGCGCGCGCUGCGGCGGCCAGUCCGCGCUCGGCUGGUCAGGCAAGCGAUCGAACACGUGGCUUUUUGCUUCUGCCCGAGUUCAAGCACCCAUAGGCUGAAGAUCUUCGCGAAUUUGGGCAUGAUCGCUGCACAAGAUUUGCUCCCCCAACAGAGCUUUGUCGUUUGUGUGUGGAAGUCGAGCGGUUUGGGGCAGUGUACAGAGAGUUGUCGUGUCACAAAGGUGGCAGUGUCACAAGGUGAGUCCCGAGGUAAAACUGCGCCAAAACCGUGCCAAAUGAAAUUGGUUUGAGUUCAAACUUUUCCAGGGCGUGUUCAAGGGAAUUUGGCACAACUUUGAUGUUUGGACUUGUUUGAUUUGAGUUCUGAAAAAGAGAGAACAAGAUUGAUCUUUGAGAGGGGGCUGAAAUUCAGAUUGCUGAAUUUCUGAAUUUUCCCAAGGUGCAUUGGUUUAGGGGCUGUUUUGGGGAUUUUAAAAAGUUCAAAAAGCAAAACUUCCUUACUAUGUUUUGUUAGUCAUUCAGCAAACUAAAACUUUAUAAUUUGGUUUUCUCCAAAAUUGUAUUCUUCUCCCAAGGGUUUCUCCCAUUUACCCUUUAUGCAUAAAUAGUUCACUUAGGGUUAACUAGGGUUUAAGAGUUUUUCCUUUUUUUGAAUUCAUGAAAACUUUAAGGAGGGUUUAAGUAGACUUCAACAUAAUUCUUUGUUCUCAUUUUCAAUGUCCCCCCUUUUGUUGAGAUUGCAUGUGAUCAUGAGUUGGGGUUAGCUUAAGGAAGAACCCUAAGUGACACUGGGGUGUCACAGCCUUCCCCGCUUAAAGGAAUCUUGUCCCGAGAUUCGGGCUAGAGUCCUCCCUGGGUGAAGCGAAGGGUGAGACUUAAAGGAAGUGUGUGCUUAUUGUUAUUAUUAGAGCAAAACCGCUCUUCGGAUGUCAUUCUCUUUGCAACUUCAGAAGGAAGUCCUUUUUAAGUUUUGUUUCAUGAUUACUUCGUUCUGACUUAAGAUCAUAUUUUUGAAAAUUAGAUUCGAAGGGCAGGAGGAGGGGUUGGGGGUGUGAUUACGUACCAGCUUCCUUAGGUAGGCAAUCGGGGAAGUUGGAUCUCAAGAAUUCCUCAGUUUCCCAAGUAGCUUCUUCCUCUGAGUGAUUACUCCACUGGACCUUGUACAUCUUGAUUGAUUUAGCCCGAGUUGAUCUUUCUUUGCAAUCCAGAAUCUUGGAGGGGUACUCUUGGUACGAUAGAUCUGGCUCUAUCUCCAAUUCUGGCUCUGCUAUGAUCUCGGUCGGUAAUCGAACACACUUCUUCAACUGAGAUACAUGGAACACACUGUGAAUGGCAGACAUUUUUGAAGGUAACUUCAGCUUAUAUGCCACGGGUCCAUAGACUUCUAUGAUCUCAUAAGGUCCAAUGUAACGAGGGGCUAGCUUGCCUUUGAUCCCAAACCUCUACACUCCCUUGGUGGGUGAUACCUUGAGGUAUACAAAACUUCCCACCUCGUACUGGAGAGGUUUCCUUCUUCUAUCAUGGUAACUCUUCUGCCUGGCCUGAGCAUCUUCUAGAUUCUUCCUGAUUAGUUUGACCUUCCUUUUGGCUUCAGUCACUAAGUCAGGUCCAAAAACUCCUCUUUCUCCAGGUUGAGACCAAUUGAGUGGUGUCCCGCACCUUCUUCCAUAGAGAGCUUCGAAAGGUGCCAUCCUUAGGCUGGAUUGAUAACUGUUGUUAUAAGCAAACUCUGCCAAGGAGAGGUGCUUAUCCCAGUUCUUGCCACAAUCGAUUGCACAAGCUCUCAGCAUAUCCUCCAGAAUUUGGUUUACCCUUUCCGACUGACCAUCAGUCUGUGGGUGGUAAGCUGAACUUCUGAUUAGCUUGGUUCCCAAAGACUCCUGCAAUUGUUCCCAAAAUCUGGCAACAAAUUGGGCUCCUCGGCCAGAAACAAUGGUCCGAGGUAAUCCGUGCAAACACACGAUCCGGUCAAUAUACAAUUCUGCAUACUUCUGAGCCUUAUCAGUAGUGUGCACAGGAAGGAAAUGUGCCACUUUCGUCAGUCGGUCCACAAUAACCCAAAUAGAAUCAUGAUGACGAGAGGUGUUGGGCAGACCUACAAUGAAAUCCAUGCUGAUGUCAUCCCAUUUCCACGAAGGUAUAGAUAGGGGUUGCAAAGCUCCAACUGAUUUCAAGUGGCUUGCCUUUAUCCUCUGACAGGUGUCACAUUCUGAUACAUACUGGGCUAUCUCCCUCUUCAUUCUAGUCCACCAGUACAAAGGCUUCAGAUCAUGGUACAUUUUGGUGCUUCCCGGAUGCAUAGAGAAUUUGGAGAGAUGAGCCUCAUCCAAGAUUUUCCUCUUGAGGUCCCUGUUUUUAGGAAUCAGCAAUCUGCUCUUGAACCAUAACACACCCUUUUCAUCUUGGCUGAAACAAUUAUACUUCUCAGUCUUCGGAUGGAGAUUCUUCUUGAUAAUCUGCACUCCCUUGUCACUGAGCUGGGCCAUGAUGAUCUGGUCUUGCAAAGCUGGCUCGACAGAAAUGUGAGACAAAGAACCAGAAGGAAUCACUUCAAUCUGCAUCUUGCUCAACUCAUCACACAAGUUGUUAAUGCGAGAAUCCAUCAGAAUACAAUUGCAUUGCAACUUCCGACUCAAGGCAUCUGCUACCACAUUGGCCUUCCCUGGGUGAUAAUGUACCUCCAGGUCAUAAUCCUUGAUCAGCUCUAGCCAUCUUCUCUGCCUCAUGUUGAGAUCAGCCUGAGUAAAGAUGUACUUAAGGCUCUUAUGAUCAGUGAAGAUGUUACAGUGGGUUCCCAUUAAAUAGUGCCUCCACAUUUUUAAUGCAUGAACCAUUGCUGCCAACUCGAGGUCAUGAGUGGGAUAAUUCUGCUCAUGAGGCCUGAGUGCUCUUGAGGCAUAGGCGAUGACUCGGUUGUCUUGCAUUAAGACACAACCUAGCCUAGUGCCAGAGGCAUCACAAUAUACAUCAAAAGGCUUGCUGUUGUUGGGUUGCGCUAAUACUGGUGCUGUGGUCAGAUGCUGCCUUAAUGCAUGGAAGGCAUCUUCGCACUUCUGACUCCAAACAAACUUGGCUUCUUUCUUCAGCAACUCAGUUAUAGGCUUCGCAAUUCGAGAGAAAUCCAGAAUAAAUCUUCGGUAAUAACCAGCUAAUCCCAGAAAACUCCAAAUUUGACAGACAGUCGUUGGUGGCUUCCAGUUCAUCACCUCUUGCACUUUAUCAGAAUCAAUAGCUAUUCCUGCUUGAGAGAUAGUGUGACCCAAGAAUUUGAUUUCCUUUAGCCAAAAAUCACACUUGGAUAACUUGGCAUAAAGGUGGUGCUCUCGCAGACGUUGAAGCACUACAUGCAAAUGCCCGACAUGUUCUUCUUCGUUUUUCGAGUACACCAAAAUAUCAUCGAUGAAAACCACUACAGAAUUUGUCCAAUUCAGGCAUGAAAACAGAAUUCAUCAGAUACAUGAAAUAUGUUGGUGCAUUUGUCAGCCCGAAUGACAUCACCAAAAAUUCAUAUAGCCCAUAUCUGGUUGAGAAUGCCAUCUUCGGAAUAUCGCUUGCUCGUAUUUUGAUCUGAUGGUAGCCAGAGCGAAGGUCGAUCUUGGAAAACACCUUGGCCCCGACCAACUGGUCAAAAAGAACAUCAAUACGAGGCAAAGGAUACUUGUUCUUGAUAGUUACCGCAUUAAGAGGGCGGUAAUCUAUACACAGCCUCAAGCUUUCAUCCUUCUUCUUCACAAACAGCGCUGGUCAUCCCCAAGACGAAGUACUUGGGCGAAUAAAUCCCUUAUCCAGCAACUCCUACAAUUGCUUCUUCAAUUCUGCCAACUCAGCGGGUGGCAUUCGGUAGGGCCUCUUGGAAAUUGGUGUCGUUCCCGAUUGCAACUCGAUGGCAAAUUCAAUAUCCCGGUCUGGUGGCAUUCCUGGCAAUUCAUCAGGAAAGACAUCUGCAUACUCGCAGACCACUGGGAUCUUCUUCAGAGGUAACUCCGUCAUAGAGAAAGCACAUGACUGAGUAGAACCUUGACUAGGCAGAAUUAAGGUGAAGUUCCCACA